UUGCCUAUAAAAUGGCAACUUAAUGGGUGUCCACUCUCACCCACCGCUUGCUUGACUGGUGGAGGGUCGUUAGCCGAACGGGUUUGACAGGAAUAUAAUUCUCCCUUCAUUAAAAAUAUUAAUGAUAAAUACUAAGUAACUAAACUCUUAAUAAUACCCAAUCUUAGUUACCUAGGAAAAUGUCAAUAAUGUGCUAAUCCAUGAAAUUACACUUUGAACUUUGUUUAAGUCGGUUAGUGGAGCGUGUGUGGUUAACCGGCACACUAACUCGUAUUUAACAAGGUAGGCAAAGGGUAACUUAAUGUUUAUCAUAGUAUCGAUGGAGCGUGUGUGGUUAACCGGCACAUCGAUUGAGGGGUAAACACUUAAGGGUACCAAGUAAUUUGCAUGGUUACUUCACACCUUGUUUUGUGAUCCUCGGCAUCCCAGUCACAAAACCUGAAGGGCACACUCGAGAUUGAAACAUGCCAUUGAACAGUUCAAUGAAUCUCAAAGAUCUAGGAGUUUCAAAACCAAUUAAAACCUAAUAAUACAUUUCGUUUAUCUUGGUGGAAAUUGGUGAAUCGUCAUUCACCUACCUUCAAAUAUUUUAUAGCUUGGAUUACGGCAUACCUCUUCUAAGUUAUAAAAUAGUUUGUUGGGUCCUAGCCUUAAUAUUUCAUAUUGGGUGUCAUAUUAAGGACUUUAAAUCAACUAUCUUGAAUAUCUCCCAAAAGAUGUCUGGUUUAGACACCUAUGAUCUUCCCAAAUCUCUUGAAACAAGGUUUCCUAAUGAAGAUGAUGUCCCAUGGAUAUCAUACUUCUUCACCUCUUCAAAUUAUUCUCCCUAACCCACAAGUUCUUGAAAAGUUUAAGGUCACUCAGGCCCUAUUGGCAAGGCAAGGUCUAGGUGUGGUCACAUCUUGGAGAUGUAGUCACAUAUUGACAAGCCGGGAGAGUUGGGUGUCAAAGUCUUGAGAAAGUUGGUGGUUCAAUCACUUUCUAAGUCACAUAGUGAGUUCCUUUGGGACACCUAUGAAACAGACUAUGACAAGACCCUUAAUGAUCUUAUCUAUUUGUUAAGAUCAACUUCCUUAAAACUUGAUGGACAUUGACAAUAGUGACACAGGAAAUCCAGAAAAGCAUUCUCUUCCCAAUGGAAAGGGAUCGGCCAUAGUCAACUCGGUUGACCAAAUGGUAAAGAGAAAAGCUAAGUCUGUGAUAGUCCCGUGUACCAUUAUCAAAGGGUCCAUAUGUUUAUAUUGCCAAAGGAAGGGGCAUUGGUUGCGAAGCUGCCAAAUUUACCUAAGGAUGUUAAAGUCAAUAAGUUUGACUCUACUUCAGGUAAAGUCCACUAUCUAACUCUGUUAAGUUUCUAUUCUGAGAUUCUUGAUACAUGAUGUGACUGGGUCACAUGGUGAUGUUUUAAGAAUCAAAGAAAAGUGAAGAAACUUAAAGAAAGAAUAUGCUGAAUCUGAUGGCGUAGAUGGAUUUCUAUCGCAUAGUUUGAAGAUCGGAUUCUUGAGCUACUUCUUAGGAGUUAUGAGAUAUUGCUUAGGAAUAGAUAACAACAAGUUUUCAUAUGGAUUGUAAGGAUAAGUUUUUCCGCAAAGUUUUAAAAUAAAAGAAAAUUUUUUAUAUUUUAUUUAUUUUAAAAUAUCCUUACAAUGGCAUUUGAGGAAAAAUUGUUGCUUAUAUGAUUCCAUUAAGAGCAAGAGUGGAAAUAUGAAAUUGAUUCUUUCAUUUGUGGUAAUGUCUAAAUUUACCAAAUAAGGAAAGAUUCUCAUCACCCAAGUUUCAAUUGGACCGGAACUUGGAAUCAUGCAAGUUGUAUAGCAUGAUGAAUGAGAACUUUCAAGUUUUGGAAAAUUAAGACUAAUUACUUGUUCACAUGGAUGUGUGAGUCAAGUAAAGGACUUAGGGAUCGAGUACACAUUCUUGUGCACUGAUUAAGUCCACCACUAAAGAUCGAUAAGAAGAAUCAAAUAAGGCAGAAGGAUAAAAGUUUCUCAAAUCUGAAAAGAUGGGAGAGUACUUUAGUAUCAGUUUUGUGAUCAUCUUAAUGAUUAAGAAACCAUAUCAAAAUUAGUUCUCUAAGGAAAUCUUAGUGCAUUCUUAUGACUAAGAAGAGGAACUUGAAUUGUUGAAAUGGUUAAAUCAAGAAGAUGAGUCAUACUUCGUUCCAAUACAAGUCUUAGAGUCAUACUCCAAGAUUGUCAUUUGAGUGACAUGUCUUAAAGAAGGUUUAAAACACUUGUCAAAUGUAAGAGUAAAAGUUUUCUACUCUUGUACAUUUGAAAUUGGUAAGUUGUGAUGUUUUGGAUAAAACAAAGACCAACUUAGGCCAAUUGGGUAAAGUGUUUUUCUUGAUUAGAAUCCGCACUAUCUCUUGGAUGUUUGACAAGGGAGUCUUAUAUGUCAAGAGGACAGUGGGAGUCUUAAAGGUCUUGAAAGUCUCAAGAAAUAAUCAAGAAUAAAACCUAAAGUUCUUCACUAGCACACGACUUGAGGUUUAUAACCUAUCGUGUUGACAUAUCUGUGCCCAUUCCAGUUAAAGUUGGCUUUGCAUAUGAGUUCUUAGAGUUCUCAGUUUGUUGCAUAACAACUUGGAAGCAAUGGCAGGCCCUUGAGCUGCCAGGUGGCAAGAAGUUAAGAUUGAGUUCAAUCCAUAUGGUUUUGGAUUUGUCAUUAUCUUUGUCUUGUGAUUAUGGUUUGACAAAUUCAUAUGGGUAGGAACUCAUACACCAUAUAAAUCUAAGUGUCAUAAGGUUUCUCUCCGAUUCAUGAAAAUGAUGGUGAGGAAACGCUUUCACUAAGUAGAUUUUACGAAGAUAUCAAUUGUGUUAUUUGCAUUUUCAAAAGUCGUUAGUGGAGCGCGUGUGGUUAACCGGCACACUAACAUGGACUUGUGAGAAAUGGCAAAUGCCUAAGCAAUUGAGACCAUGAUUACGGUAUCCCUUUUCAUGGUUCUUGAAAUUGCUUAGACACACAGGUGAGCUAUCUACGGAAAGGGUGUAUGAAUCUAAAUUUCAGACUGUCCAGCUGAUUUCUGAGUACAUGUCAAAGCUAGUGGGAGCAUAAGUGUUAUGCUAAUAAUCAUCAUGUUAGUGGGAGCAUGAUAAUUAUGAUAAGUAUUGCAAGUUAGCAAUGUUAAUUAUAGAAAACAAAAGUUUCAAUUGGGAAAAAGUUGUUUUGCUAUAAUUAAGGGAGAGGAAAUUAUGCUUCAUCUCAAAUCUAUAAGCUUAGAUCGUGAGGUUUUAAUCAUUUAGUCAAGGAUAUAUAUGAAUUUCAUGUUGGAAUGGCUCAACAUAAGGAAAUUCUGUAUAUGGGUCCAUUAUUUGCGUUCUAAAAUUCGAUUAUGAUUACGGCAUCCCUUUUCAUAAUCUGAAUUAUGAGAACUUGGCAAAUUGAAAUGGAAAUAUUAUAGCAAAAGACUGGUUUAGUCUUUAUGUAAGACAUCAUGAAUCGUGUCCCAUAUGCUUCGGAUAUAGGAUCGAUUACAUGUGCUAUAUUCAUCCGUUCUAAAAUUUUCCAAAUGCCUGGGGCAUUAAGAAGGGAAAAGGUUUAGAACUGGAUAUGACUAAAAGGAUUAAACAAUUGUCGAGGACAAUCUAAGGUUUACCAAAGAUUGGUUACUCAAGGACAAUUGGAAGUAUAGUGAUAAUUCUGGAAGGACCAUAUUGACAUAAUCUGUAAGGAGGCAACUCUUGUUCAGAAGUGAUAGUCAAAAUGGAAUCUGGAAAUGUUUCAAAGUUAGAAUUUUCAAUCUGUGUAAGAUUAAGGAAACUUAAUGCAAGAAGGAUAUUUCCAAGGAGUUGAUCUCCUUUGGAAUACUCUGUAAUGAUUGUUGCCAAGUCUUUGUGACUUUGUGCAUAAUCAUUACAAGAGGAUCAAUGCAUAUAAGUUUAGAAUCUAACAGAUUUCAGUAAAUGGCAUGAAUUUGGAAUUCUUGCAUUUGCAGUAAGGAUUUGGGAGUGUGAAAAGAGAAUCAUUGAAGUUAUGUUCAAUUGAUCUAGUUCACAAAGUAAAGAUCAUAGACAAACAUAGUAUGCAUACUUGGUGUGUGGCAUGACUAGUGUUUAAGAAAACAUAGUGUACAUGCUUGGAGCAUGGGACAACUAUUGUUUUAAAUUCAAGAAUAAAGUUGAUAGCUGAAACAGUAUACAAUGAAUAAUGUGUAAUCAUAUGGUGAUAAAUAAAAGGUGUUUUAUUUAUGUUCAAAGGGUUGAUACCAUAUUGGAUUCAAUUAUUAUUGUGUUUCAUUUUGCAUGUUUUGACUUCCCGAAUAAACUGGGUUAUUCUUCCGGAAUGACUAAGUUAUUCAAACCAUCCACAGUCGGUCAUAUGUUGGAAGUAGAUAUGAAUUAAGACUGUCAUGGGUUGGCUUGUAGAGGUCUAAGGUGUUGGACAAAGGGCUACAACACUCAUGAGUGCUCAUAAGUUCUGAGUAUUGGAUUCAACCCGCGCUCAUUGGAAUCACUUCAUGGAUUUUAUCACGAGUGAUCAUGAGACGAUAAUAUCUUAUAUUCUUCAAACCUAGAGAUAUGAGUUGUUACUAUGAGUUGAUAGUACAUUGAUUGCACGAAAACGCAUUUGGUAACUCGGUGCUAUAAAACGUGCCUUUGUGUAUGAUUCAACAAGUAGUAGAACAAGCCAUAUGAGUCGAAGUUUAUCCAUUCCUUUUACCUUCGGGAUAAAAGCGAUAUCUGUGGGCCCCUCGAUGAUUUGAUGAUGACAAAUGGAAGUGCUCGGCCGGGCCAGGACUGAUUUGAUUUGUUCAAUUAGUCAGUCGUCAUAAAUCGGAAAUCGGGAAACAACAAAUGGACAGAGAGAAUGAUUAUAAUCCAUGUCUCAGUCCAUAUGAUAUCUAGAAUGGAGGAAUAUAUGAUCCCUUAUCUAAUGGACAAGUCAUUGACAAAGGUCAGAGUUCAUCUACAAGGUCAGAGUUCGACAGAAGCUUUUGAGAGCUACGAUUGCCAGUUGGUUCCUGAAGUCAUACGCAAUAAUAGUUUUAGACUUAUCCAAGUGGGAGACUGUUGGAUUAAUGUCUAAGUCCAUAACUAUAAUUGGUAAGACUUGACCCGACCCGGCAUGGUCCAUUUGGGUUGCAUACCAUCAUGCACUUGGAUAGACUAUAAUGAGAGAAAUAAGACACUUAUGGUUAUUAAUAUAUUAUAAGUUCUAGUAUAUUAAUAAUAAGAAUAAUAAGAUUAUUUAAUUAGUAUUGAUCAAGAAUUAAUCUAGGAUUAAUUAAGUGAUCAAAAGAAGACUAAUUAAAUAUAUGGGUUGAUUGUGUAAAUCAUCCAUACUUGUAUAGUGGGCUAAUGCUCCAUGGAUAAUCAAGUUGGGCUAAAACCCAUAGGAUGGUCCAUGGAUGCUCCAUGGUGUAUUUGAACCCAUGGAUCCAAGGAAAUGGAAAGUCAUUACAAUUAAGGUUUACCUUAAUUGUAACACUAUAUAAAGAACUUAUUCUUGACAAAAAUCGGCCACUAGAGAGAGUAAGAAAGGGCUAGCCGAUUUCAUGAAGUGUAGAUUUCUCUCAAGUCAUUCCAUGUGUAUUUGGUGUUGUGUGAACCAUUUGAGGUGUCACACUUGGGGCACUAGGCACUCAAGCUUCAUGAAGACAUUCUACAUCAAAGAGGUAUGUAUUCUAUCUUGUUAUAUUCAAUGAUUUGUAUGCUAGAUUAGGAUAAUACCUUGGAUGUUCAUAUUUGUAUGUAUAAUAGAGAAAACAUAGAUCCAAGGUAUUUAGGGUUGCAUGUACGCUUAGGAGUAUUAGAAUGCUCAAAAUCCAACAUAAGAUAUAUGAAAAUAAUUAUUUUCCAAGGUUCUUAUCCUAUCUAGCAUGGCAUGGGGAACUUGAAUCAAAUAAAGCUAGUAAAAUUACUUACCUUGUAGUUGUAGGNAUUGAUUGCUUGGAGUUUUAGAGCCUAGCACCAAAUAGUGUGGAUGCCUCAAAUGGAAAUCACAAAUCACCAUAAACUUGGAACUUUGAGAGAAUAAUCACAACUAUCUUGAAAUCGGCCCUCUUGCUUUACUCACCUCAACUAGUGUGAUUUCAAGAACCAAGGCCAUCUAUAUAUAGUGUGGUGGACUAGGGUUACAUCUAAUACCCAUGUCUCUUCAUUUCCAUGAUAUCCAUGGGAUAAAGCUCGNCAUGGAGUAUCCAUGGACUUUCCAUGCAAGCCUAGCCCAUUCCAAAUAAGCAUUAGCCCACACUAUAUAAAUAUAGGAGCCCAUAUUUAAUUAGUAAUACUUUUGAUCUCUAAAUUAAUCCUAGAUUAAUUAUAGAUCAAUACUAAUUAAAUAAUAUGAUCUUAUAUUAAUAUAUUAGAACUUAUAAUAUAUUAAUAAAUCAUAACAUAUACUAUUCUCCAAAGAUUAUCCAUAAAUUGUUCGGGUGAAGUGCAACCCAAAUGGACCACUCCGAGUCGGGUCAAGUACAUACCAAAUAUAGUUAUGCUCUUAGACACUAUAUCCAAUAGUCUCCCACUUGGAUAAGUCUAAUAACUAUAGCUGCAAGUAUGACUUCAGGAACCGAUCAGCAAUCGUAGCUCUUUAAACUCUGUUGAACUAGAACGCGCCAUUUUAGAUAAGUGAUCAUAUAAUCCUCUGUUCUAGAUAUCAGCCGGACAAAUACAUGGAACAUGGUGUUACUUAUUGUCCAACAUUUGUUUCCAGAUUUCCGAUUUGUUUGACAUAGAACCUAACUGAACACAUCAAUUUAGUUCUGACUGGGCCUGGUACAUAGGUCAAAAACAAAAUCAUCGAGGGGCCCAAAUAUCACUUCUAAUCCUAGAAGGAACAGAUAAACUUCGACUCAUAGUUUGGUCUACUACUUGUUGAAUUACACACAAAUGUACGUUUUAUAACAUCUUACCAAUGCGUUUUCCUACAAUCAAUGCAUAACCAACUCAAAGGUAACAAAUCAUAUCUCUAGGUUUGAAGACUUAUAUGAUAUUACGGUCUCACGAUCACUCGAGAUAAAUUCCGUGAUGUGAUUCCAUUGAGCGUGGGUUGAGUCCAAUGCUCAGAUCUUAUGAGCACUCAUGAUUGUUGUAGCCAUGUCUAACAUCUUAGACCUCUACAACCAAUCAUGACAGUCUUGAUUCAUACCUACUUCCUACAUAUGACCGACUGCGGAGGUUCGAAUAAUAUGAUAUACCAAACAUAAUUAUUCUGGAAGUCAAAACAUGCAAAAGAAAUAUAGUAAAUGAUUGACAAGUGAUAGCAACACAUUACUCAUAAAUAAUAGCUUUUAUUUAUUAUCAAAUGUCAAUUACAUUUUACAAAUUUCAAAGAUUAUCUAACUACUAAAACUAGUAUCAUUCUUCAGCCCUAUGCUCCGAGCAUGCUGGAGAUGCUUAGCCCGAGUCAAUCCCUUCGUGAGGGGAUCUGUUGGGUUCUCAUCCGAUGAUACCCUAUUUGCCACGAGGAUUCCUUCUUCUAUUCCAUGUCUGAUGACGUGAUAUUUUAUGUCAAUGUGUCUGGAUCUCCCAUGAUCUCUUGGUUCCUUGGCUAAGGCAACCGCACUAUUGCUGUCACAAAAAAUCUCCAUUGGCUCCUUUAUUGCUGGUACAACUCCAAGGUCUCCGAUGAAGUUCUUUAGCCAUAUAGCCUCCUUUGCUACCUCGUUUGCUGCUAUAUACUCUGAUUCACAAGUGGAAUCAGCCACUGUCUCCUGCUUAGAACUUUUCCAAGUAAUUGCCCCUCCGUUUAGGGUAAAGACCCAGCCCAACUGAGAGCGGAAAUUAUUGUGACAACUCGGAAUUUUCAUUCGGUCAAACCCUAAAAGUCAAUCACUUCAUAUUAUAAGUCAAGUUCACUUUUACUUAUUUUUAGCAAAUUAAUGUUUGUUUGAUUAUUUUAAUAAUUAAUCUUUAAACGAACGGGUGAACGGAUGGGCCGUCUUGGGUCUUGAAAUUUCUAAACCGCGAAUACCACGUAACUUAGAAGUUCACGUCCAAACUUUUAUGUUUGGGCCGUAAACUCCCUCAAAAACCGUGAACUCAUGCCUUAAGCAUGAGUUUACUCCCCAAAGUAGAUCACUUUUCAUUUACACCCAAAAAGAGUAAACUCCAAAAACCCCCUCAAGUAUCAUCCAAGAUAUAAUUCAAGAUCUUCAAACUUGUAAGUGUUCUAGCCAUUUCAAGUUGGUAUAACACUUAAUCUAGUGAUUGUGCAUCUUUUCAUCCAUCCAUUUUUAUGUUUUGAUUAGAUUUCCUAAAACACCAUGAACACACACUAAGUGUUCUUGGAGUUUUAGCUCAUUUCAAGCUUCCUUAUAGUAAGUACUUCCAUCCUUGAGUCUUAUUAAGCUUGUAUUACAUGUUAACAUCAAGAAAAUGUCCCAAGAACACAAAGAAAAAGGUGUUCACGGUUUUGGGAGGCUCCCAAAACCGUAAACACGAAAUAAGGUGCAAAGUGGUGCUUUAGGUUGUCUAGAUGCUUCACAAUGCCUAAGGGACUUGUCUAGAUCCUUCCUUGAUGAGUUUAAGCCAUGAAAAACACCAAAGUCCAUUUUUUUGUGUUUACGGUUUGGGGAUCUCCCAAAACCGUAAACACCCCAAUGUGGGUAUAAAUGGACCAUAUUCCUUCCUUAGGCCAAAAAUCUAACCUAGACUUUUACCUUGUUGAGCUAAGGACUUGAAAACAUAACAAUACCACUUUCCAUAUGGGUUUACGGUAGUAAACCCAAAAGGAAAUGGCCUUGGGGCCGUAAGCUCCUCCAAGGAGUGUAGUAAUGCCCUAAUCCCUUCCAAAGGCCUAACCACCAAGUAGAAAUGCUUCAAAGGACUUGUAAAACCUCAAAACAACUUAUGGUCAUAAAGUGUAGAGUUUACGACCGUAAACCCUUAAGUUUACUGCCGUAAACUCCUUGGGUAAUGGUCAUGAAAACCGUAAACUCCAAAGGAGUUUACCUGUGGACCCCAAACACUUUAGCUUUGACGUACAACAACUUAGAUGCCAUACUUAGGGCUAAUAACACCUAUGUAAGGUGUUUAGCAUGUUCUAGGAGGUCUUAUCAUGAUCGAUUAGUAGUUUAAAACUAAUUAGGUACAUAUAUGUGUGAUUAUAUGUUAACUAGGAUCAUAGAGUGUGUUCAAGACUUCCCUUGACACCUAGCAAUCCUACAUCUUCAGUUCAUCCGUACCACUCAGUACAGGUGAGUUCACACCCCUUAAUCAAUGUUUAAAUGAUUUUAAACGCUUUAAUGGGGGGGGGGGAUACACGUAGAAAACAGCAUGUUAUUAAAUCUCUCAUAUGUAUUUAUAACUGUGUUUUCAUCCAGCAGAUUUCACAUACUUCAAAAUGUGAUGCAUGAAAUGGUUUUCUAUCUUAAAAAUACCUUGGUAGCAAAAGUAUUACGUUUGAAAUGUUAAUUAAAAUGAUAUCAAGUCAUUGUUAAUUAUUGUUCAAAACUCUUAGAUGUCUUACAAAACCAUACUUUUACCUUCUUGAACAAAACUAUAUCUAUACACUUGUGUUCUUAUAUAUGUGUUGAUGUUAUAGUGUUCAUCCUUCAUUCAGUUUCCCACACUCUUGUGUAACAAGGGUGUAUAAACCUACUUGGACAAUCAAUUACCUUCUAGCUAACUAUUAUAGGGAUAGUUAGGAGAUACAAAACAUUAUUCCUAUUACAAGGAAUUACACCAGAGUCAGUUCAUUCAUGAGACUAUACUAUACAUUACAUGUUACAUGAAUACGUCUACAUCGAUACACUUACAUGAAUACAUUUACAUAUAUACAUUUAUUUGUAUACAUUUACAUGGAUACUUGUACCUAGAUUCACUAGGAUGAUUUACUAGUACAUUAUGUGUAAAUUGUUCUGCCUAUCCUAGUUCAAAAGGAUAACUUGACGGGACUAACCAUUCCGAAACCCACCUAUUAGCAAUAGAGGUAAUGAACAUCUACGGAUGCCUACGGUUAAUAAUUAUAUUAGGAGUACCUUUACGGGACUAACCAUUCCUUAAACCUACUGCCAGCUACAGAGGAAAAUGAACAAUCUACGGAUGUUCAAGGUUAUACAUUUCGGCAGUCGUGAUGUCGUGUUUAUCCUAAUGCAAAAGGAUAAUACCUUUAUGGUUAUAUUUUUCCUAUUACUUUUAUUUUGUGUUACAUUCACAUAAACUUGGAGGUAGACUAUAUAUUAUUAAUAGUAGUCAUAAAGAGGAAAAUCAUCUUUGUUACAGCAAAACAUUCGGGUCUUGGUAGAAGACUACAUAUUAUACUAGUGGGAAAUAUGGGAUUUUCUAGGGUUUUCAUACUUAUAUCAAUUGUUUCAUUCAAAGAUUUUCAUAGCAUUCAUAACGUCUUUCCAAAAAAAGGCAAUGACACUUAAAUACUUAUGAAUUCACUAGCUUUACGCUGAUACUCGCUUUCAAAAUAACUUGUAUUCUCAGGUCACUAGUAGACAAGUACGAUGGCAAGGUUUUGAGAAGACGGAACACAGACAAGACUCGUCUUUUAUUUUGAUUACAUAUUUUGGUGUCUUAUUACAAUGAAAGAACACACAUGUAUUUAAACUUUACUCUUAAUGCAAUGGAUGAUGUUGUUGCUUGUUUACUACUUUACAUUGUUAUGAUACUUCACAUGAUGUCCUCCACCCCGGAACAUUUCCGCCGUUCUCAGUUUUGGGGUGUGACAAUUAUCCCUGUCAGUCUGGAAGCUAACAUCACUGUACCCUACAACUCUUAAGUCAUCACUCCCACCAAAGGGUAAGGACCCAGUCCUUAGUCCUUCGCAGGUACUUGAGGAUAUUCUUUACCGUAGUCCGGUGUACCUUGCCUGGGUUUCCCUGAUACCUACAAACCAUGCUCAAAGCAAAGGCUACAUCAGGUCGAGUACACGUCAUAAGAUAUAUGAUCGAUCCUACAGCUGAAGCAUAAGGUAUUCUACUCAUUUCUGCUAUCUCAGCCUCAGUACUAGGGCUUUGUGUCUUACUCAAUCUGGCGUUACUCUGAAUGGGUAACUCACUUUUCUUGGAGUUAUGCAUGUUGAAUCUUUUCAACACUUUGUCCACAUAGGUGCUUUGACUAAGUCCAAUUAUUCUUUUACUCAUGUUUCUCAAAAUCCUUAUCCUUAGGAUAUAGGUAGCUUCACCAAGGUCCUUCAUAGCGAAACACUUCCCAAGCUCGGACUUUACUUCCUGUAGGGUUGGGAUGUCAUUUCCUAUGAGUAGUAUGUCAUCCACAUACAGUACCAAAAAACUGACUAUGCUCCCACUAGCCUUGAUAUAGACACAAGAUUCAUCUUCACUCCUUGAAAAGCCAAAUUCUUUGACUUUCUCAUCAAAACAAAGAUUCCAUCUAGAAGGUGCCUGUUUGAAUACAUAAAUGGAUUUCUCGAUUUUACACACUCCAUUGGGGUACUCAGUAUUGACAAAACCCUCUGGCUGAACCAUGUAAACAUCUUCAUCCAACUUUCCAUUAAGGAAAGUGGUUUUGACAUCCAUUUGCCGUAUUUCAUAGUCAUGAAAUGCAGCAAUGGCUAACAGAACCCUAAUAGACUUAAUCUUCGCCAUUGGUGAAAAGGUCUCAUCAUAAUAAACUCCCAGAGUUUGAGAAUAACCCUUUGCAACCAGUCGUGCCUUAUAAGUGUGUACAUUACUAUCCAUGUCGGUCUUCUUCUUGAAGAUCCAUUUAACCCAACUACCUUACGAUCAGGUACAUUGUCAACCAAGUUCCAAACUUGAUUGUCACACAUGGACUAUAUCUCGCUAUCCAUAGCCUCUUUCCAUUUAGCAGCCUCAGGGUCUGCCAUGGCUUCCAUGUAGUUGUUAGGCUCAUCUAGAUUUACCAGUGUGUUAUCACUGAUAAGUGUCUCACCUUAUGCAGUAAUAUGGAAACCAUAAUAAUCCUCAGGUGCAUUCCUAACUAUGGUGGAACGCCUUAGAGGUAUAUAUUCUUCAGUCGGCUCAACAGGAGUUUCCUCCUCAGGUUGAGGGCUAGGGUUUGAGGUUCCUUCAUCACUUGACUCUUUAAGUUCCGCAUGGUCAAUUUGCCUCCCACUAUCUCCUUGACUCAUGAAUUAUCUCUCUCGAAAGAAUCCUCUUCUUGCUACAAAGACCACAUUAUCAUUGGGUCUGUAGAAGAUGUAGCCAAAGGAUUUCUGUGGAUAGAUGAUGAAAAUACACCUUUCGCUUCGAGGUUCGAGCUUAUCGUGAGUCUCGCGUCUCACGAAAGCCUCACAACCCCAAAUAUUGAUGUGGGCCAGAUUGGAAAUUUUCCAGUCCACAUCUCGUGAGGUGUUUUGGCAACCUUCUUUGUAGGGACUGGAUUAAGGAUAUGGGUGGCAGUCUCUAAGGCAUACCCCCAAAAUGAGAUUGGUAGCGAAGCUCGACUCAUGAACGAACCAUGUCCAACAAGGUCCGAUUGCGCCUCUCAGCUACACCAUUCAAUUGUGGUGUCCUAGGAGGUGUCAAUUGUGAGAUAAUCCCACAUUCCUUAAGAUAGUCAAGGAACUCAGUACUAAGAUACUCACCACCACGAUCGGAUCGAAGCAUCUUAAUGUUCCUGCCCAACUGAUUCUCCACUUCUUGCUUAAACACUUUGAAUUUCUCAAAGGUUCUAAUUGCGCCUCUCAGCUACACCAUUCAAUUGUGGUGUCCUAGGAGGUGUCAAUUGUGAGAUAAUCCCACAUUCCUUAAGAUAGUCAAGGAACUCAGUACUAAGAUACUCACCACCACGAUCGGAUCGAAGCAUCUUAAUGUUCCUGCCCAACUGAUUCUCCACUUCUUUCUUAAACUCUUUGAAUCUCUUGUGGCGAUUCUGAAGGAUCCACACACAUCCGUGUGUAUGAGGUCCAACAAACCUUCACCCCUAGCACAAGUGCCAGUAAAAGGUGACUUUGUCAUUUUACCAAGCAAACAAGAUUCACAACUAUCAUCUGACUUUAGGUCAAAUGACUCCAAGACUCCAUCCUUUUGGAGUUGGCCUAUGCGUUUCUUGCUUACAUGUCCAAGACGACAAUGCCAUAAAGAUGCUUUAUCUAAGCUAGUGGAAGAGUCAAUAUACAAUACAUUAUUUCCUAGAUUAUCUACAACAGAUACAGUUUCAUACACGCCAUCACAAGGUAAUGCUUUAAAAUAAUGAACAUUAUUAAAGAAAGCAUCAAUACUACCAUUAUUAUUAUCAAAAUAAAAGGUAAAACCUUGUUUAUACAAUGCAUGAAAGGAAAUAACAUUUCUUGCCAUUUCUGGCAAAUAAUAACACUUAUUCGAAUCUAAUGUAAACCCACUAUUUAGCACUAAGGAAUAAACUCCUAUCUUGGUGAUAGGUGAAGCUUUCAUGUUUCCCAUGAUCAAGUUUAUCUUUCCCUGCUCCACAUUCUCACUUCUUCUUAGUCCUUGCAAAUCACAACAUAUGUGAAUACCACAACCUGUGUCAAGGACCCAAGACUUAGAAUGAGGUGAGUUAUUAGACAAUAUAGUGUAUAUACCUUCAUGGUUGGGUUUUACUUUCCCAUCCUUCACAUCUAGCUGGUACUUUGGAUAGUUUCGCUUCUAGUGCAACUUUUCAUGACAAUAGAAGCAUUCAGCCUCAUUAGGGUUAGCAUAAGGAGUGAAAAAAUCUUUCUUGGUUUUGCUUGAAGAGGAGCCUUCAAGGGUCUUACCGUUGGUACCCUUAGAAGGGUUCUUUCUAUUCUUCCCUUUGCCAUGCCCGAUUGCCAAGACAUUGGCCGCAAUUGGAGUAGGAGUAGGAGUGGUAACAACCGACUUACCCUUUAGACCACUUUCCUCGGUCUUUAAGAGUCCCUGAAGUUUGCUGAGAGCGACUUCUUCCUUGUUCAUGUGAUAUGUCAUGCGGAAUUGAUCAUAACACGAUGGUAAGGAGUGCAAAAUGAUGUUUAUUGCUAACUCCUCGGGGAAGUUCACAUUCAGCUUCAAUAAACGGUCCACAUACCUUUGCAUUUUCUGGAUGUGGCCCGUGAUGGGUUCACCAUCCUUCAUUCAGGUUGUUAUCAUGGAGGAGAUUAUUUCAUAUCGCUCUUGACGUGCACUUUGAUGGUAACGGUCCAUCAAGUCCUAGUGCAUCUCAAAAGGAUAAUAGUAUUCAUAGGAAUUUUGGAGCUCGGCUGUCAUGGUGGCCAUCAUGAUGCAUGCUACUUUUGUAGCAUCUCUUUCAUGUACCUCAUAUUCAGCAAGCUCUUCAGGAGUAGCAGUUGGCUCGGGUACUUUUAGCUCCUUGUCGAGAACAUAUUCUUUUUUCUCAUAACGAGUGACCAUCCUGAUGUUCCUGAUCCAAUCAGUAAAGUUGGAUCCAUCGAAGAUGACUCUCCCACAAAGAUUCAUGAGAGAGAAAGAGCUUGUAAGGUUAAAGCUAGAAGCAUUGUUAUUGCAAGACAUCUGAAAACAAGAGGGAAUAGAUUAGAUUAGAUUUAGAGAUAGUCCUUAAUAAAACACCCAAAUGUAGUAUCAAGGCUAGGACCCAACACAAUAUUUUAUAACUUUGUAAGAGGGAUGUCGUAAUCUAAGUUAUAAGAUAUUUGAAGGUAGGUGAAUGACGAUUCACCAAUUUCCACCUUGAAAAACGAAAUUUUUAAUUAGGUUUUUAAUUGGUUUAGAAACUCCUAGAUUUUUUUGAGAUUCAUUGAACUUCCUUCAAUUGCAUGUUUCAAUCUCGAGUGUGCCCUUCAAGUUUUGUGACUGGGAUGCCGACGAUCACAAAACAAGGUGUGAAGUAACCAUGCAAAUUACUUCGUACUCUUAAUGUAUUACCCCUCAAUUGAUGUGCCGGUUAACCACACACGCUCCAUCGAUACUAUGAUAAACAUUAAGUCACCCUUUACCUAACUUGUUAAGUUCAAGUUAGUGUGCCGGUUAACCACACACGCUCCACUAACGACUUAAACAAAGUGUAAAGUGUAAUUUCAUGGAUUAGCACCUUAUUCACAUUUUCCUAAAAUAACUAAGAUUGGGAAUUCAAUAAAGUUUAGUUACUUUAGUAUUGUCAUUAUACUUUUAAUGAGAAUUUAUAAGUCCUUGUCCUAUCUAUUCGGCUAACGACCCUCCACCGAUCAAGGAAGCGGUGGGUGAGAGUGGACACCCAUUAAGUUGCCUUUUAUAGGCAACAACCUUAUACCCCCCUUAUAGACCGGCUUCGUGAAUGAGGCGUACUAGCAGUAAGACGACUUUGAUCUUAUACGUAUAUAUAUUAUUAUUAACUUAUAAUAUUAUAAGUAUACGGGUUGAAUUUUAACUUUUAAAAUUCUAAGGGUUGGAAUUAAAGUUUUUAAUCAUGACUAUACUUGUUCCAAAACUUGAGGGCAAGUUUUGUAAACAUUCAAAACUUUUUAUUUUUUAUAACUUAUGAAACUAAUUGAGUAUUAAAAUGAAGACUUUUCAUUUUUCUAACUCUUGUGUUCUUUUAAUGGUUUUAAUUCAAGUGUGACUCUUGGUUUUCCAUAACUUGAGGACAAGUUAUGGACUCCAUUAAAACACAUUAUGAUCAAGAAUUAAACUACCAAGUAGGUUACAAACAAUUCCUAUGAUCAUCUAAUCUUCAUAAGUUCAAGAACAUGAAUAUGAACAUUUCAAGAAUCAUAAAUUACUCAUAAAUCUUGUAAUUUUUUAUUAUAGCCAUUGUAAAUGGAUUAGCAUAAACAUUACACCAUCUAAAUCAAGUUUUAUGACACCAAAACAGUUUAGGGUAAUGUUUCUAGUCCAUUUCCAGCAGCAAAAGUCGAAAAUCUGCAUUCUGAGGCUCCUACUCGUCGAGUGCACGAACCUACUCGGCGAGUAGGAUGAAGAUUUUAAUCAUGACUUUACUUGUUCCAAAACAUGAGGGCAACUUUUGUAAACAUUCAAAACUUUUCAUUUCUUAUAACUUAUGAAGUUAAUUGAGUAUUAAAAUGAAGACUUUUCAUUUUUUCUAACUCUUGUGUUCUUUUAAUGAUUUUAAUUCAAGUGUGACUCUUUGUUUUCCAUAACUUGAGGACAAGUUAUGGACUCCAUUAAAACACAUUAUGAUCAAGAGUUAACUACGAAGUAGGUUAAAAACAAUUCCUAUGAUCAUCUAAUAUUCAUAAGUUCAAGAACAUGAAUAUGAAUAUUUCAAGAAUCAUGAAUUACUCAUAAAUAUUGUAAUUUUUUAUUAUAGCCAUUGUAAAUGGAUUAGCAUAAACAUUACACCAUCUAAAACAAGUUUUAUGACACCAAAACAGUUUAGGGUAAUGUUUCUAGUCCAUUUCCAGCAGCAAAAGUCGAAAAUCUGCAUUCUGAGGCUCCUACUCGUCGAGUGCACGAACCUACUCGCCGAGUAGGAUGAAGAUACACAUGAACUCGGCGAGUCCCCCCAUGGACUCGGCGAGUUCAUCAGGCAGACAGCAAGUUUUUCGACUUUUUCCAAUAUUUUGCAUCAAGUAUCAAACAAACAAGCCUAGGCUCUGAUACCACUGAUGGGUUUUGAGCAUUCUAACACUCCUAUGGUGUACAUGCAACCCUAGAAACCUUGGAUCUAUGUUUGACUAAGAUACAUGCAAAUAAUUAUAUUUUCGAAGGUUCUUAUCCUAUCUAGCAUGGCAUGGGGAACUUGAAUCAAAUAAAGCUAGUAGAAUUACUUACCUUGUAGUUGUAGUUGAUUGCUUGGAGUUUUAGAGCCUAGCACCAAUAGUGUGGAUGCCUCAAAUGGAAAUCAAAAAUCACCACAAACUUGGAACUUUGAGAGAAUAGUCACAACUAUCUUGAAAUCGGCCCUCUUGCUUUACUCACCUCAACUAGUGUGAUUUCAAGAACCAAGGUCUUCUUUAUAUAGUGUGGUGGAUUAGGGUUACUUCCAUGUAAACCCUAAUACCCAUUUCUCUUCAUUUCCAUGAGAUCCAUGGGUUACAGCUCCAUGGAGUAUCCAUGGACUUUCCAUGCAAGCCUAGCCCAUUCCAAAUAAGCAUUAGCCCUCACUAUAUAUAAAUAUAGGAGCCCAUAUUUAAUUAGUAAUACUUUUGAUCUCUAAAUUAAUCCUAGAUUAAUUAUAGAUCAAUACUAAUUAAAUAAUAUGACCUUAUAUUAAUAUAUUAGAACUUAUAAUAUAUAAAUAAAUCAUAACUUAUACUAUUCUCCAAAGAUUAUCCAUAAAUUGUUCGGGUGAAGUACAACCCAAAUGGACCAUGCUGGGUCGGGUAAUGUACAUACCAAAUAUAGUUAUGGACUUAGACAUUAUAUCCAAUAAAGUAUACUCUAGGUUCUUUGGAAAACUUCACUGGUUCCUCCAGAAAAUCCUAUAUUUCCUGAGGUGAUAAACUGAUAACCUCAAUAGUUUCCCUCUAUAAUUACUUAGUUUAUACUAAUUACAUAUAACCUAAUAUCGAGCUAACAGUUAAAUGGUUGUUCUUCCCUAAGCCCACAACUAAACAAGGAACAGGAUGUAAGGCGGAAGUCACACAUUUCACUGUUAAUCAGAUAUUACUUAUAUAUAACUCUGAUGUAAUAACUAAGGAAUUAUAGAAUUAACCACUAAAGAUCCUUUAUGUUAUACUAGUUGACUAAGUUCCAAUUGAAAAAGUAGUUUAAUCCCAUAAAUCGUUUCAUUUGUAAAAGUGGCUUAAUUCCAUAAACCGUUUCAUUAGUAAAAGUGGUUUAAUUCCAUAAACCGUUUCCUUUGUAAAAGUGGUUUAAUCCCAUAAACCGUUUCAUUUGUAAAAGUAUUCUUAGUUUCAUCCGUUCUAUAGUAAACCAUUAAUAUUAAUCUUGGGAAAUAUUAUCUUAUCCGUAAUACUGCCUUGUGGGUUUAAAUGUUCCAAAACCAGAAGUACAAGUAUAUUUUCCAUACUUGAUUUCAAGAUACGUAGUUUUUACUAUAAGUAAAAUCUAAUAGAAGGUAUAGUGGGUCUGGAUGUAAUUAUCUCUUCUUACUGUUUUAAGAGAAGUAUAUUACUUAGUAAUUUACUUAUUGUUUUAUCCAUGUGAAUUCUAUUAACCAUACUAAUAUGACCGAUGUGCCUGAUGCAACAUUCUUCAGGCGUCGGAAACGAUAUGACAUUUGUCACCCUAGGCCUCCUGGCCAAACUAUAGUGAACAGUGAAGGUGCGGGAUUGUCAAUCCCAUAUUGUGACAACCGUCAAUUUCCGGCCAAGUCAAAGUCAGCUGAAGUAAACAAGUCAAACCGUUCGACUCAAUUUUCCCGUAGGUACUAGAGUUUACGUUAUGUAAUUUCUAAACAACUCGCUAUUCUAAUGAGAGAUCAUAAAUCAAAAAGUGUGUACAUCUAGAUCUCCUUAACCUAAAACUGUGGUACGUGGCGAGCCAAACCGAUAAAACAAUUUUGCAUACUUAUCGGGAGUGUGUAAGAUCCUUAAACAAGGCUUAAGAAGGUUUACAGACCUUGCUUUGCGAAGCCGGACACUCACAAAUGUCACACACGUAACCUCUCUAAAUCGUUUUCAUUCUAUCUCUCUUUAUCGAGAAUCUCUCCCCAAAUCUCCCCACGUAUGUCAAAUCUCUCCCAAAUCUCCCCACGUAUGUCAAAUCUCUCCCAAAUCUCUCUAAGAAUAUGAAAUCUCUCCCAAAACUCUCUUUGUAUGAGAAAUCUCUCCCAAAUCUCUCUCAAAAGUUCCCGUAACUUUUUGAGGUCAUUCGGGUCAUUCUGACCCUUAACCGGGUCAAAAACGGCUUGAAACGGGGUAAAAACGAGUAAAGUAGGCUUAAGGACCCGAAACCCCUCUUAAGGACCCGAAACCCCUCUUAGGGCCGAAGGUCCUCUUAGGGACCGAACCCUCUUGGACCGAACCCGAAGGCUGCCCUCGGGCCCGAACCUCGCACAAGCCCGAACCUGAAGCUACUGUUCAUUUCGGUCUAUUUCGCUCCUGAUGUUUCGGACUGAGCCUCCUUCUCGCUUCUUGUUGUUUCGCCUCGUCUUGCUUCGGACCCAGCACCAGAAGGGACCGAACCUUCGGACCCUUACAAGAAGCCUCGCAGGAAGAGCCUUUCUUCCCGGUUUUCGACUACGACUUCAUUUUAGCUUCAUUUUUAAUUGUUUUAACGCGGGAUUUUCACCCAAAAGUUGAUUUUAACAUAUAAAGCCCCAAAUUUAUUAAUUAUCCAUGUUUUUGGGGAUAAACCUUAUCCAAGAAGAGUGGGUGAAGUACAAGAGGUGGAGUGUUGAGUUUCCUUUAUCCUAUGACACAAGCAACCACUCCCAUACACACUCCAUGUCACUAUUCACCAUCAGCCCAUACCUAGUCAUUUCAUGGUACUUUUCCCACCAUUUUCAGCCACACACUUGGUCAAGGGUUAGAAAACCCUCCUCUCUCCUCACAUUUCUUUCAUUUCCUCUCAUUCCUCCAUCAAGAACAAACUUCACUUUCUCUCAUCUUCUCUCUCUAAAAUUCGAUAUUCAAGGCUAUACUCCAUCUUUUCUUCUACUUUUGGUAAGUAUUAACAUCCUCCAUGUGAUUAUUUCACUUGCUUCUACUCAAAUCAUAGAUAGCUUGCACAAAUAUCGUCAUAUUUGUUGUUAGCUCCUCAAAUCUUCAAGCAUCUCUCAAGUGUUCUUGAGAUUGAACANCUUCACUUUCUCUCAUCUUCUCUCUCUAAAAUUCGAUAUUCAAGGCUAUACUCCAUCUUUUCUUCUACUUUUGGUAAGUAUUAACAUCCUCCAUGUGAUUAUUUCACUUCCUUCUACUCAAAUCAUAGAUAGCUUACACAAAUAUCGUCAUAUUUGUUGUUAGCUCCUCAAAUCUUCAAGCAUCUCCCAAGUGUUCUUGAGAUUGAACACUUCUUUUCUCCAUCAUCCAUCUACUGAAAUCACUCAACGUGAGUUCAUACCCCUACAUUUUCAUGUUUUCUCAUGUUUUUAGGAGGGAAAUACAAGUUAAAACACCAAGAACAUAACUAAACUUUUCUAACAGCCUUCAUUAGAAAAGUUGGACUGCAUUCACGGACUGUUUUGGACAACUUAAACAUUUUCUUUCAAAACGGUUUUAGGUUCAUGUAGUUCCAGUUCUUAGCCUUAAAAUGACUACUUGCACAUCUCCAUACGAUUUUUCUUCAAUUUAUGGUGAUUUUUACAAAACUGCCUAUCAUUUCAAACAUCAAUCCGGACCAGUCUCUGAUUAUGGACUUGUUCACACAAGUUAGAGUUCAGUAAAACUCAAAAUAAAAAUUAUGAAUAAACUAGACUCAUUUUCCAAACUCUCAGAAUUUACGAAUUCUGAUUUGGACCUUUGAUAAUUUUUUUAUAAAUUUUCUAAGAACAGUAAAUGAAAAUAUUAAUAACAGAAAAAUGUUAUCAAUUUAAUUUCACCUUCUAACAUGUUGAGCAAGGUGUAUAUCUUUAUGUGAUUAUAUGUUUUUGCAAAUAAAUGAAAUUUUGACUUAGUAUAUAGUCAUACAUCAGUUAGCAAAUGGUGUUUGCUCGAUAGAGCAUAGAAAUAACGAUUUGUUAUAAUCAUAGCACAUCUAUUACAUACAAACAUUUGAAUAAACUAUGUUAAGUAUAGUUUAUGUACAUUACCACUUUUGCCCUUGUUUUGAUAAACUAUAAUAGGUAUAGUUUAUGAUUCAUUACAUAACACACUCAUAGAAAAAGGGUACAUUCAUACAAAAAGGUUUUACAUUUACGCACACCACAUGUAAACUUCUUAACUUAAAUUGUGAGCGAUUCUCUUUCCGUAUGUCCGAGUGCGGGACUUAAAUUCCUGGUAGCUAUAUCCAGAGUCUCUUGUAAGGAGAACAUGAUAGUUGUGUAUAGAUCUAUAUUGGGUUAGACACCUCACACCCGAGCUGCAUGCAACAGCUUGACCGGCUGGUCUGUGGUGAUAAAUGUCAUUUCAGUUUCGCGACGCCUGAGAAACGUCGUGGCAGGUUCAUUCAGUCAUUAGUAUGGUUAUAGCGGCUCACAUAGGAAGUUAACAACUCAUAAAGUUUAUGGGGAAAUUUUCAUAAAUCAUAAGGGGUUAUAUGUCGAUUUAAAAUCACUUUUUAUAUUAAUAAUUACAGAUAUUAUUGUAUAUUUUCAGUCUUGGUAUUUAAGACUACACACCAUUCAUUACGGGAGUUUUCUCAAAUCAGAAAGGGUUUUACGCCAAUUUGAAACCACUUUUAUAUCUUUAAGUAUGACAAAUACUUGUUCAUUUUCGGUCCUGGGUUUUAGGACCACAUAACUUUUAUAAGGAAAAUAUUGGAUUUUUCUUGGUAACAUACAUCUCUUUACAAAGAUCGAUUUUCAAACUCUUACUGUCAAAAGCUUAUGAACUCACCAACCUUUGUGUUGACACUUUUCAAAACUACUUGUAUUCUCAGGAAUUCAGUGUAACAGGAAAUUCAACAGCGUUUUGAGGAUGGGACGAGAAAUCGUUAAACAGUUCAUUUUGUAUCAUAAUGUAAUUGAUUUGAAUCAUGUAAACAUAUACUUUGGUUUAACUUUUUCAAUUAUAUUUAUGACGGUUGUAUUUACUUUGAGCGCUAUUAUACACGUUGUUGCGAUACUCUACAUGAAGUCCUCCACCCCCGGACGUUUCCGCCAUCCUUGGUUUGGGGGUGUGACAGAUUGGUAGCAGAGUAUUGUUUAUAGUGAACUAAGUAUAUCGAAACACAUAUGAUAUACAAACUAUAAAUGCGUUGGGACUAAAGUCUCUAAUUUAAAGUUUUCAAAAAAAUUAUACUUUUAGAAAUAAAUAAUUUCCUAUUAAAAGUAUACAUGUAUGCAUACAUACUAAGGUCAGCAUCAUUCUAGAACAAAACAAAAGUAACAAUUGUUGAAUACCACAGGCAAGCUCGGGGAUGUAUGGUCAGUCUUGGGAGUGGCAUAGCCUGAUCAACUAUGCUGGUCUGAGGAGUGAUUAGCACAUGCCCAAGAAUGGUUGUGAUAUGGAAACAAGUCUAAAAACUUACCAACACUACCACAACGAGAACAUUAGAGCCAAACAUAAAAUUUAAAAUACUAUAGGAGUAUUUUGUAAUAUCAUAACUUAUAUGAAAACUAAAUAGAUCCUUAAUAAUAGGUCUAUAGUCCCUGAGUGAAUAUUCUAAGGUUAUAUAACUUAGAAAUCAUAGACUUAGAAUUUGUGGUCAUUGCCUUACUUCCUUUUCCUUAUUUGGAUGUGGACCUAGGGUAGGAUCACUUAUUCGAAGGUCUAUCAUAUCUUGUUAUAUGUAAUUAGUAUGCACUAUGUCAUUAUAGAAGUAACUAAUAAGGAUCACCCCUAUAAGUAAUUAAUUAUAGAGUAGACGCCUAGUAAUCAUCUCUUCCACUCCUAUUCUCGCAAGUACAAUGUAGGAAGAUCCUACUUACCGGACGACCCCUACUUUCCCAAUCCGAACCCGACAAAUGGUGAAUGGUUAUGAGAAGAAUCAGAAGCGGAACUGGAGGUAAUUAAUCCUCCAUGCAUAGCAAGGGUUUCCGUGAACCUUUUCGACUACAUCGAACCUGUGCCCCGUUGGGCAAUCGUGAUCGAGGGUUGAAUGUCGACAGCAAUGACAACAACCACCAUGUGGAGACCAACGAGGGUGCUAUGACCUCAACCACGGGGGACCGACUGACAGAGCCCUCCCAGCGAAGACCCGGAAGAUCGCGAACAUCGGGGAUUAAAGCAGAUAGACUACAACCCGAGUGCGGAAACUACGCGCUACUACGGACCCUACCAUCUCACGAACCCGAGACUCAGAAUUAGACUACUAUUUUCGAGACCAACAUUCUUUUUUUGAACCUUAUCGCCGCUCGUGAAGAGGAAAGAGAGUAACGGGGUAGACACACGGCAUCUAAAGAAAGGAGGAUCGCAACCAAGCAUCGAUUGGCAGGGCUGCAAGGUGCAUUGACCUUGCCUCAGGCAUCAUAAGAGAUGGAUCGUCGUAAGUGAGUUCAUACCGCUCACAAGACCUGGUAAAUUAGGUUCAUGAGUAUGCGUUGGUGCUACUCUAUUAUAGGUAAAAGUACAACAUUGCAAAUGAAGUGGUCAUACUAAUCGAGAGAUAUAGUUGUUACCAAAACUUUUCCUUGCAUAGAUAUGAUGAAGACCUGCAUGGAAGUCAAAAAUUUUCGCUGAAACUAUAGUUACUAGAGUCAUAUUUACAAGAUGGGCUUAGGACAUACCUAACAGACUCCAAGGUCUAUUUAGUCUUUAUUAUAUAACUAAGCAUACAUCAAUUGGUCAUAAUAACGACCUAGCUUGGGUCAAGUAUAAGGCUUCACUUGGAUACAGAACUACUGAAAUACAUCAGUUUACCAUAUAAAGAAUCUCGUUAUAAUUUGUUUUCAGAACACCCUUAACGACCGAAUUAUGUUACAAAUCGAUAUAAGAUAAACUUAGUUAGAAACUCGCGACGUAUAGCCAUUCUAAAAACUCAUUAUCGUCUCACCUUUAAACAAUUUGUUGAGAAGUUCCUUCUUUAUAGACCUAUGGGGUGAGAUCAUUCAGGAACUAAUACACCGGGUCCCAUCAAAACUCCUCAGCCAAGUGUGUUCGGACAAAAAUGAUUCUAAGAUGAGUAAAGCUUAACGCCCAUAUGAAACCUACUCCUACCCACUGCCAUAACUCCAUCUCAGGAACGUUAGCGGAAACACUAGGAAUAGUACAGUAAUGUGCAAAAAUUUAUAUGCAUAAAUAUAAAUCGUAAGGAUGCACUUAAGAUAAUCAUUCCCACUAACGAAGUCGUUUUUCAUCGUGGAAAAGAGCCAUGCCUUCACCAAGAGGCAACCAACAAACUAGCAAGGCGCCAACCCUGCAGAUAGACUNACAGCCGUCAUGGCGCAAUUCAAUGCUAACAACGCCAGCGAGUACUGACAAUGCAAAUUGUGGUAACAAUCAGGAACACCAACGGGUGUCUGCCAGUGAAAAUACCUCAGGCCACAAACCUACGAACAACAAGCGAAAGUUUUGGAACAAAAAGGAGCACAACCAAUCUCAAAGAUCCGCUAAAAGACAACAACCCAUGGCCACCCCUACAAUUACGACAGCAGUCACAACACAUGCCUCAACAUCAGCCACAACAUCUACCGCUCAAGCAUCAGGCAAGAAAUAUAUGGGAGCACUCCCAAAGUGUAACAAGUGUAACUACCAUCACACAGGGGCUUGCCGAAUUUUACACUGUAAAAACUGCAACAGGAAAGGGCAUACCGUCCGUUUCUGUAAGGCCCCGACUCAGUACAUCGCUUCAACCCCCAAUACCAAAGUAAUUCCAGUGUGCUUCCUAUGUGGCGAAACAGGACACUUCAAGAGAAACUGUCCAACUGAGAGGAAUGACGGGGGAGCCAGAGGAGUGUGACAAACGAACCAGCAAGGGUAGCAGGGAACCAUAUUAGGACUUUUGUAAUGUUUCCAACAACAAAAACAUUUAAGUACCAUAUGUUUGUAAUGAAUUUCGUAUGCUUGCUAAAGUCACCGCCUUUCUAAGAAUAGUUAAAAUAAUCUCUCGUUCAAAUCAAACCAAAGACAUUCAUAUAUGACCUUAGGAUCAUUACCUGUAAGAUGUGGUAACUUUGUACAUACAUCGGGGUUAAUUAUAAUCAAAAUACUGAAGUCUUGAAACAAAUAAUUCCAUCCUGACUCCUAUUCCAUGGUUAGUAGUAGGGAUUGAGUGGGGCCACCCACUCGACGAUUUCACCAACAUCAACUUACAUAUGGCGUUCAUAUACCGCUCGAUCAUAGGGAGACCUGUCAGGGAUCAUGAUAUCAAGUAUCAUUACUGGCUAUCGAAACACACCCGCUACCAGUGCUAGACACUGUGGUAUGAAUCAUCUACAGUAAUAAUAACAUCAAACAAAACGGAACACUGUGAAAAGAAACAGAAGAUAAUCUAUCACUCUAGUGAUCUCUUCUUAUGAAUACAGCUUAACUCAUGUUAUCUAAAAAGAUUUGGUUGUCACCAUUCAGUUUCGAUUAGUAUAGUCCUCAUCUUCCCGAUUUAACGUCUACAAAAGGACCCUUCACCUAACCCUCCGAAUAUCGAAACCUUUGUCUCCCAUAAACGCAUCCAGCUCGGAUCUACGGGUCAUCUCUCGCUGCGAAACGCCAAAACACGCACCAGAGGGGUGUUAUACUUCCCGAAACCUUAUCACAUGUAUUUACAGGAGACCUUUGGGAAUGUCACACAUACAACAAACAAGGUUCAAGCACAGAAGCUUGGGACGGAAAUAGUUAGUCUACCACUACUACGUGUAUACGUGAGGAUAAUGUAUAAUUAAGAUUCUACGGACAUUGGAUGUGUGCUUCUGCCCUAUUUCCUAUUCCAUGUAUGGUUGUGGACUUGGGGCAGAGUCACCCAUCCAACUGUCUUGCCAAUCUUAAGCACAUACGACCUAUAUGCACAAGUUAAUGAUAGAUGGACCAGGUACAAAUCCUGACAUGAACUUCAGGCCAAGGUUGCCCAGGAGGACGAGUGAAUGUCCUACCAUCCGAAAAGGCCUAGUCGCGUAAACCAAACCCACAUGCUUCCUACCGAGCUACAGUAACUGUCAGGACAAACCUGUCGAACUACUCAACAAUGAAAUUGAAGAACCAAGCUUCUCACCCUAGAGAACUCCGGUCUUAUUCUUCAAAUAGAAAGACAAAUUGCUCGUAGGCCCAUCGACCUCAGAGGCCCCAACAAUAUCUCCAGUAGAAAUCUUUACUAUCCGCCUUGCAUAGAUGAAUAGGCCGACCAACCGCAAGGAACGAGGUACCCUUCAGGAAUUAGACCUGAGAUCUGAAUAUCACCAAUCGUGAGUAUUCAAGAAGGAUGUCCAAGGACAAUCCUACAAGUUUGAUGCGGACGCUACAAGUUCAUAGUGAUACCCCUCAGAUAGGACCAACCCACUCGCAGUCUUCAUGAACUUAAUGAAUAGGAUAUGCCAUUCUUACUAAGAUCAGUUCAUCAUUGUCAUUGUAAAUGACUUUCUUAUCUACCCUCGUAGUAAGAAGGAAACCAAGGAGAGCAGCAAUACGAUUAAAGAAACCUUACCUGAAGUUCUUUAGAUACGAGUUUUGGAAUUGAAGAGUCAAAUUCCUAAGACACACUACUAUUGAUGUGGAAACUCUUGAGGACCCUUUCAAUUAAUCAAAACCAUUGAGAGAUUGUCAGCACCAAAGGCGUCGACGGGAACACACUGAAAUUCUGGGUCUCGCUGACCUACCGUCUUAGUCCCUAGAGAACUUCUCGCAAAUUACGGAACCCCAUUACGACUUUGACCCUGAAGGGAGCAAUCCUCGUCUGGGAAGAGAAACAAGAGGGAGAAACCUUUAGAACUCCAGAAUAAGAGACCAAAUUCCUCUGGAAGCCUCACUCUGGGAAGGCUUAGUAUGCCUCGGAAAGCGUGGAAAGCCAAAACCCCAGAUAAUUAUGCCUUUCGAGAUUCUUGUCAGAAUCAACCUUGUAACUCGCUACUUCAAUCUACUCCCGUGAGCUUGGUAAAGUACAUUCUACCCGACACGCCCCGAACUUGAAGUAGUAUCUAUCCGACGAGACUCUUGUAAUCCCCCUCGACGAGAUCGAGUUCCACAAGAGCCUCACCUUCGUGGAAGAACCGUAGUGACCAUGGACCGAGAGUUCAAGCGAACGCAACAACGCCGCUUCCCAUUAGUGAAAGUUCGCUGGAAUACUAACCAAGGACCUGGAAUCAAUUGGGAGUGCGAGAAUCAGUCGAUUAGGAAGUAUCCCCACUUCUUGGCUCGAUUACUCAUGCCUACUCCUUGCCUAAAUUCAAAUUUCAGGACGAAAUUCCCUCUAACGGGGGGAUGAUGUGACAACCGUCAAUUUCUGGUCAAGUCAAAGUCAACUGAAGUCACCAAGUCAAACCAUUCAACUCAAUUUUCCCGUGGGUAAUAGAGUUUACGUUAUGUAAUUUCUAAACAACUCGCUAUUCUAAUGAGAGAUCAUAAAUCGAAAAGUGUGUACAUCUAGAUCUCCUUAACCUAAAAUUGUGGUACGUGGCGAGCGAAACCGAUAAAACAAUGUUCCAUACUCAUCGGGAGUGUGUAAGAUCCAUAAACAAGGCUUUACAAGGUUUACGGACCUUGCUUUGCGAAGCCAGACACUCAGAAAUGUCAUACACGAAACCUCUCAUAAUCGUUUUCACUCAAUCUCUUUUUACCGAGAAUCUCUCCCCAAAUCUCCCCAUGUAUGUCAAAUCUCUCCCAAAUCUACCCACGUAUGUCAAAUCUCUCCCAAAUCUCUCUAAGAAUAUGAAAUCUCUCCCAAAACUCUCUUUGUAUGAGAAAUCUCUCCAAGAAUAUGAAAUCUCUCCAAAAUCUCUCUCAAAAGUUCCCGUAACUUUUUGAAGUCGUUCGGGUCAUUCCGACCCUUAACCGGGUCAAAAACGGCUUGAAACCGGGUAAAAACAAGUAAAAUAGGCUUAAGGACCCAAAACCCCUCUUAAGGACCCGAAACCCCUCUUAGGGCCAAAAGUCCUCUUAGGACCGAACCCUCUUGGACCGAACCCGAAGGCUGCUCUCGGGCCCGAACCUCGCACAAGCCCGAACCCGAAGAUACUGUUCAUUUCGGUCUAUUUCGCUCCUGAUGCUUCAGACCGAGCCUCCUUCUCGCUUUUUGUUGUUUCACCUCGUCUCUCUUCGGACCCAGCACCAGAAGGGACCGAACCUUCGGCCCCCUUACGAGAAGCCUCGCAGGAAGAGCCUUUCUUCCUGGUUUUCGACUACGACUUCAUUUUAGUUUCGUUUCUAAUUGUUUUAACGCGGGAUUUUCAACCAAAACUUUAUUUUAACAUAUAAGGCCCCAUAUUUAUUAAUUAUCCACGUUUUUGGGGAUAAACCUUAUCCAAGAAGAGUGGAUGAAGUACAAGAGGUGGAGUGUUGAGUUUCCUUUAUUCUAUGACACAAGCAACCACUCCCAUACCCACACCAUGUUACUAUUCACCAUCAGCCCAUACCUAGUCAUUUCAUGGUACUUUUCCCACCAUUUUUCAGCCACACACUUGGUCAAGGGUUAGAAAACCGUCCUCUCUCCUCACAUUUCUUUCAUUUCCUCUCAUUCCUCCAUCAAGAACAAACUUCACUUUCUCUCAUCUUCUCUCUCUAAAAUUCGAGAUUCAAGGCUAUACUCCAUCUUUUCUUCUACUUUUGGUAAGUAUUAACAUCCUCCAUAUGAUUAUUUCACUUCCUUCUACUCAAAUCAUAGAUAGCUUGCACAAAUAUCGUCAUAUUUGUUCUUAGCUCCUCAAAUCUUCAAGCAUCUCCCAAGUGUUCUUGAGAUUGAACACUUCUUUUCUCAAUCAUCCAUCUACUGAAAUCACUCAACGUGAGUUCAUACCCCUACAUUUUCAUGUUUUCUCAUGUUUUUAGGAGGGAAAUACAAGUUAAAACACCAAGAACAUAACUAAACUUUUCUAACAGCCUUCAUUAGAAAAGUUGGACUGCAUUCACGGACUAUUUUGGACAACUUAAACAUUUUCUUUCAAAACAGUUUUAGGUUCAUGUAGUUCCAUUUCUUAGCUUUAAAAUGACUACUUGCACAUCUCCAUACGAUUUUUCUAGAAUUUAUGGUGAUUUUUACAAAACUGCCUAUCAUUUCAAACAUCAAUCCGGACCAGUCUCUGAUUAUGGACUUGUUCACACAAGUUAGAUUUCAUUAUAACUCAAAAUAAAAAUUAUGAAUAAACUAGACUCAUUUUCCAAACUCUUAGAAUUUACGAAUUCUGAUUUGGACCUUUGAUAAUUUUUCUAUAAAUUUUCUAAGAACAGUAAAUGAAAAUAUUUAUAACAGAAAAAUGUUAUCAAUUUAAUUUCACCUUCUAACAUGUUGAGCAAGGUCUAUAUCUUUAUGUGAUUAUAUGUUUUUGCAAAUAAAUGAAAUUUUGACUUAGUAUAUAGUCAUACAUCAGUUAACAAAUGGAGUUUGCUCGAUAGAGCAUAGAAAUAACGAUUUGUUAUAAUCAUAGCACAUCUGUUACAUACAAACAUUUGAAUAAACUAUAUUAAGUAUAGUUUAUGUACAUUACCACUUUUGCCCUUGUUUUGAUAAACUAUAAUAGGUAUAGUUUAUGAUUCAUUACAUAACACACUCAUAGAAAAAGGGUACAUUCAUACAAAAAGGUUUUACAUUCACGCACACCAUACGUAAACUGGUUAACUUAAAUUGUGAGAGAUUCUCUUUCUGUACGUCCGAGUGCGGGACUUAAAUUCCUGGUAGCUAUAUCCAGAGUCUCUUGUAGGGAGAACGUGAUAGUUUUGUAUAGAUCUAUAUUGGGUUAGACACCCCAGACCUGAGCUGCGUGCAACAGCUAGACCGGAAGGCCAGUGGUGACAAAUGUCAUUUCAGUUUCACGACGCCGGAGAAACGUCGUGGCAGGUUCAUUCAGUCAUUAGUAUGGUUAUAGCGGCUCACAUAGGAAGUUAAAAACUCAUAAAGUUUACGGGGAAAUUUUCAUAAAUCAUAAGGGGUUUUAUGUCGAUUUAAAAUCACUUUUUAUAUCAAUAAUUACGGAUAUUAUUGUAUAUUUUCAGUCUUGGAAUUUAAGACUACACACCAUUCAUUACGGGAGUUUUCUCAAAUCAGAAAGGGUUUUUACGCCAAUUUGAAACCACCUUUAUAUCUUUAAGUAUGACAAAUACUUAUUCAUUUUCGGUCCUGGUAUUAGGAACACAUAACAUUUAUAAGGAAAAUAUUGGAUUUUUCUUGGUAACAUACAUGUCUUUACAAAGAUCGAUUUUCAAACUCUUACUGUCAAAAGCUUAUGAACUCACCAACCUUUGUGUUGACACUUUUCAAAACUACUUGUAUUCUCAGGAAUUCAGUGUAACAGGAAAUUCAACAGCGUUUUGAGGAUAGGACGAGAAAUCGUUAAACAGUUCAUUUUGUAUCAUAAUGUAAUUGAUUUGAAUCAUGUAAACAUAUACUUUGGUGUAACUUUUUCAAUUAUAUUUAUGAUGGUUGUAUUUACUUUGAGCACUUACGUUGUUGUGAUACUCUACAUGAAGUCCUCCACCCCCGGACGUUUCCGUCAUCCUUGGUUUGGGUGUGUGACACAUAUAGAUCUAUACACAAAUUCACGCUCUCCCUACAAGAGAUUCUGGUUAAUAGGUCAGGACUUAAAGUUGUACUUAGGUAAGUACACCGUGAAGGGUCUCACAAAUUUAUUGUUUCAACGAGAUUUACGAUGUAUUAUUACCCGUGAUUUCUAACCCUGGUACUCUGUAGCGUACCUAUGUUAAUGCAAACCCGGUAUGAUGUAUUAUUACUCCGUGUUUGCUAACCGUGGUACUCUAUAUCGUACCUUUGUUAAUGCAAACCCGUUAUGAUGUAUCUUUAGUUCUUUAAUAUGUUCUUCGUAUAUUAAAGGCAUUCGACUGGAGAAAGGUUAACUUCUCGAGAAUUUCGGGGCUCCGAGGCUUCCUUCGGGCUUUAUACACGAUAUUGGGGCCUUGGGGGUCGUGAGAAAGUCUAGGAGGUGAAAAAGUGAAAGAUUAUGAAAUUUGGGGUGAAAAACCUCUCAAAUCCGAGAAGUCUCACACCCUUUAUAUAGGGGGUACGUGGGUGCGGCUGAGGAAGACAGCUGGCGAGGGAGAGGGGUCAGCAUCCAUGCGUCGAACAUGCGAAGUGAACACGAGGCGAGCCUUCAGACGUGGAGGCUUCUGAGUGGGCCGAACUUCGGUCCAAUGGGGAGGUGCCACGAGGGUCCGUGGUGUGUCUCAUGCGAUGGUGUCCGAGGCUUAGUGGACCGCGGACUUGGUCCAAUCAGAAGGUGACACAGUGAAGUUUGGUCCUAUCAGGAGCUCACACGUGUAGGCCUCGCAUGCGUGGAUGACGUGUCAGAAGGUCAUGCAAGCGAUUUUUCCUAGUUUUCCACAUUUUCUUGAUUUUGUGCCCAAAACUUGGAAAAUUCAUAACUUUCACAUACGAGCUCCAUUUUUGGUGUUCUUUAUAUGCACGCGUAGGUUAAAUCAUUCUCUACGUCUUUCGUUUAGACUUCGUCGGCUAAUUUCGAAUUCGUUUUUAAUAUUAUUAUUUUUAACAGAUUGGGACAGGAAAAUCCGUUAAAAAUUCAUAACUUCUUCAUCUGACGUCCGUUUUUGUAUGUCUUUUUACCGUUGUUCUACUAAUGACGAGACGUUCAAUUCUCAUUUAGGUUGUCUCGGCUAAAAUCCACUCGAUCUUUAUUUGGAGUUUUUAGUUGUACACUGCUAUAUUGAAACUUAGAAAAAUCAUAACUUCCUAAUACGAAGUUAGAUUUUUGCGUUCUUUUUAUGAAAGUUCUCGGUUUAACAUAAAAUACAAUUUUCAUUUAGAUCGUUAAGGCUAAAAAUCCUUUUAUUGAGAUUUCAAUUUUUACACUAAACAAUGUUUUGUCGGUUUUGUCGCGGAUCUUCGAUUGGUCAUAACUUCUUCGUUAUAACUCGGAUUUCAGUGUUCUUUAUAUUUUUGGAAAUCUUGUUACAAUCUCUACCACUUGGUUCAUCCCAAUCAUGAUUAUUGAUCAAUUUAUUUUUGACCCAAAUUUGACUGGUGUCACAUUAUCCCCCCAUUAGAUGGAAUUUCGUCGCAAAAUUAAGUCUAAAGUGAUACUCAUGGACUAGUUCUAAUCUUCCCUUUCCCAAGUGAAUUCAGGUCCUCGCUUUGUAAUCCGACGAACCUUCACUAACAGGAUAUGACUUUGCUUGGUUCUUUAGAUUUCCAUAUCCAUGGUUUUCGUUGGUUCUUCUACAAAGUGUAGACUUUUAUUUAACUUGAUUUCAUUGAGUGAAAUAACAAGUGUUUCAUCGGAUAGACACCUCUUUAGAUUAGAUAUGUGAAUGAUAAGAUGAAUGUUAUUAAGUUUUUGUGGUAGUUUAAGUUUAUAUGUACAAGACCAAUUCUGGUAAGAAUCUCAAAUUGUUCUUUGUACCUUGAAUUUUUGUAUUCCAUGCUUUCUCAAGCAUAUCUUGUCCUUUCCAGGUGAGACCUUCAUAUGACAAGGUCAUCAAUCCUGGGAUUCCAAGGGUUUUUGUUUAUCGAAGCCGUAGCUUCUCUGAUUAACUCUGGAAGCUUUAUGGCGCUUCCCGAUUCGUAUUUUGUUUUUGGUAGUUUCUCGGAUGAAUUCCAGAUCAACGAAGGUGCUGUGUGGAAAUUGAAUAUCUAGCUAAUUGCAUAUUACCUACUUUAGUCUAGUGUAGAUAGGAUCUGCACUUGUGACCACAUAAGGUUUUGAAUGGAGCAACUUAAAUGCUAGCGUGAUAAAGGAGUCGACUAAUUGGUAAAUAGGUAUCCCAUUCUUUACCAUAGUCGAUUACAUAGAAUCAUGACAACUCUGGUUCCUAUACAUUUUUGAAUGACUGCCUGAAUUGGGAGAUGAUUCUAUUAUCUCAGUGGAGAUAACAGAUAUUGGAAUACCGUGCACUCACACGUUCUAGUCAUCUUUUCUACUUGCCACAUUUUCAGGUUUCAAGGCUUCCUGUUGAGCCUCCUUACUUUAUGUGGACAGAUUUGAAUGGGUUAUCAUAGUCAAUGAUUGGAUCUACGACCUAGAUACUCUUUUCCGACUUAGGGUGUUAGCUACUAUAUUGGCUUUUUCGAGAUGAUAACAAAUUUCAAAUUUAUAGUCAUUUAGUAGCUUGACCCGUUGUCGUUGUCUUAUGUUGAAUUCCUCCUGGUAGCAUAUAUGAUGAAGUUUUUCGCUACGAAGUUCAUGAUACGCCUCAUACUUGGGUCAUCCACCAUCACGUCGUGUAUACAAGUCAUAUAUAAUUUAGAUUUCACAAAACAUUCAGAUGGGUGACUCUGCCCCAGGUCCACAACUAAACAAGGAACAUGAGAUAGGGCAGAUUACACAUCCUUGAUAUAGUUAAGUCUAAAUUAUAUACCACUCUCGUGUAUACACUUAGCAGCGAUAGAGUAACCUAAUGAGUUCUUACUCUCUAUUCUUGAACUUGACUUGCAGUAGAAUGAUUUUCCUAUGAGAUCUAUUGGGGGUACUUUGGUGCUUUUCGUUUGAAGUUUUAUGUCUACUGAGUAGGCUAGAAGGGCAUGGUACCCUUCGCAUUGGUACUUCUGAAGUUUUGAAAUGAAAGACAACCUAAGAGUUUGCGUUAUGGAUUGGAAAAUUUUCAUCUGAUUGCUGAUUAAGGAAAAAGUUCUCUUACACAUCAUAAGAAUUUUUCAUAUGGUUAGGGCUAGGCCAAACCAUGUAAAAUAAGGAUGUCGGAUUUUUCUCGACGAAAUAGAUAUUAAAUCGGUCUAGGAGGAAUGAUUACUAGGAUGACGAUCCUUCAUAUGGACCUAAGUUUUCAAUGCUUCAAAUUUUAAUUUGUUACUAUUGUUACGAAUCCCUUUUUUGAUUCGAAAAUGGUGGGUACUACCAAUACGAGGAUUCUGAUAAUUUGAAAUUAUGAACUUUCAUGAACGAUCCUUACUAGGUCUCCCUAUAAUCGCUUGGUAUAUACAAGUCAUAUACAAUUAAGAUUGUUAAGACCUUUGACUGAGCAAACCUGCUUUAAAUCCACAACCAAACAAGGAACAAGAAAUGAGGCGGGAUUACUCAGUCUAAGUCUACAAAUCUUAGUUAUAAAUGACCCUUAUUUAUACACUAAGUCAUCACAGCUUACCUCUUAGGGUUUCAAAAUUUAUAUGAAUGUUGUGAUUUAAUUUGAACGAGAGAGUAAUCAUAAUUUUAGAUAAUUAUCAUCGUUUUGAAACGUACCAAAAUAUAGCAGGGUUCUUUGAUUCUUUCCCAUGCAUUGGGGGUCAAACUCCUCCUGCUCCCCCUUCGUUCUUCUCUGUUGGACAGUCCCUCUUGUAAUGUCCUAUUUCACCACAAAGGUGACAUAUUGGAAUUGUUUCAACAAUUGUAGCUGAAGUGAUGAACUCAACCAGGGUUCUACAGAUGCGAGCAGUGUGCCCCUUUGUGUUGCAUCUAUUUCCAUGCAGCUCAUGGCAACCUCCAUGAUGAUGGUAGUUGCACUUGCUGAAGUAUGGGAGGUUUCCUAAGUACGACGUGGUUGGUGCUGGAAUAACAGGGCUGAUGGGGGUGUUGACUAUCCCAGUUUGUUGCCCUCUAUUAGGUUCUUGAGUUGAACAACUCCCUUUCAUGUUCUCUAACUUUCGUUUCAGGAUAUUAGGCUUAAGGUUCAAGGUGUUCUUACAAGUAGGUGCUCGUUGCUGUACUUGGCCAUCACCACGAUUGGGGUUACCGAUAACAUUACUACUAACAUUUACAUUGUUAGCAUUAAGGUGUGCCAAGACAGCUGCUACAGUUGUUGUGAACGCAGCUUGAAAUGUAGCUGCAUCUAUUUGAAGGAUUGGUGUUUCGCUGGUUGGUUGGUUACAUUUCAUUGGAGGCAUGAUUUUGUUACAUGAUAAGAAAAUGAGCUUGAGAACGACUAUCGUUGGCUCUAUAUGUAUUCUAAUCAUUUGUAUAUACAUAUAAAUCUUUCGUUUUGUUAUAUUGUUCUCAAUGAUUCGACCUGCAUCCCUAUGAUGCAGUCCUGGUAAGGAGCAAAAAUAAGUUUCUAGAAUGAACCGAGAAUCAUCCGAACUAAGUUACCUUCUAUUGGUGGAUAUCGUUUUCCAACUUUCGAAGGUAUUUGAAAAUAAUUCAUAACAGUGUCUACAUAAAAUAGACUUAUGAAUUUCAGAAGUAAUCACUAUCAAUUGAGAUUUCGUGAUCCGAUUUAUUGUUAUUAACUGUGAUAAGAAGAUAAGCUCAAAACCUAAUGUGAGUAAUGUAAACACUAACUCACUAGGUUGUAUUAUUAGUUAUUACUUAGAUGAAAAGGCGCUUAAACUCUUCAUAUGAAUCAUGCGUGGUCCAUUCUUAAUUCUAUUCUGGGUGGUAAUGAUUUGUUCUCUCCUAGUAUCUAUAGGGUGUCCUUUUCCCCUGUACGUAUAUUGAAUUACCGAGCUGUCUUACUUCCGAUUCUGAUACUGAUCCCCAUUAUUUCGUAAUGAAGAUUUUGAAUCUCGGAAGUUCAUGUGAAUCGCUCAUUGGUCUCAUUAAUAGGGUAAGGGCACUAAAUGAUUUCUAUCGUUUCGUUACUUCUCAUCCAUUUCUCUCUCAGAAUUCUCCUAAUGAAAUUAUGUUGGAUCCUCCUUGACUCUUCUAUUGAUUACCGGAGUAUCUAUCUAAGGGGUUGAUACGAGAAUGGGAAUGUCUAAAGAAUCUAUGAAAAAAUUUAAAUUUUUACAAAGGUGAGCCUUUCUGAUCCUUCUAUAAUCACAUGGUGGGUACCGAUUAUAUAUAAUCCAUAUCAAAUAGAUCUUCGAAUAAGUAAUCCUACUCUAAAACCACAUCCAAACUGUCACACCCCAAAACCAAGAACGGCGGAAACGUUCUGGGGCGGAGGACGUCAUGUAAAGUAUCACAACACAGUAAAUGUAAAUAAGCAAACAACAUCAUCCAUUGCAUUAAAUAUAUAAUUUUAAUACAAGCGUGUUCUGUACAGUUUUAGACACCAAAAAUAUAAGGUAUAUCAAAAUAAUAAUAUGAUGAGUCUUGAAUGCGCUCCAUCUCCUCAAAAGCUGGCAUCGGUACCUGUCUACUGAUGACCUGAGAAUGCAAGUUUUUUUUGAAAGAGUUUAUCAGCAUUAAGCUGGUGAGUUCAUAAGUAUUUUAGUGUCGGUGUUUGUUAUCAAAAACGUUUGAACGUGUCUCAAGUAUAAGUUUGUGAAAUGUAUGUAAGUGUUUGUAAAAGUUUGAAUCUCUCAGAAAAACCUAUAUUUUCUAUUAAAGUAGCCUUCUACCAAGGCUUAACUGUUUUGUAUGUUCGUUUGUUGUAAAAGUGUGUAAUUUCCCAAGUGCAACUAUCUUUUAACAAAAUAUAGUUUGUACAUUAAAGUUCAAGUGAGGUUAUCACUAAAAAUAUGUAAUGGGUAAAUCAUUGUAGUACUGUAGCUUAGUUUUAUAGUAACUACUGGUGUACUAACUACCUUAAACCGGAUUUAUAUUAAGGUAAAAUGUGAUAAUUGCACCAUGCUAUAGACUGGUAACAACGACAUACGAAUGGUCGUAAUAACGGAAUGACGUUUGGCACCCGCAGACCUGCAGGUCCGGCUGUAGCUAGCAGCAAGGUGUAGGAUAGUCAAUCCAGUAUAGAUCUAUACGCAAACUCANNNNNNNNNNNNNNNNNNNNNNNNNNNNNNNNNNNNNNNNNNNNNNNNNNNNNNNNNNNNNNNNNNNNNNNNNNNNNNNNNNNNNNNNNNNNNNNNNNNNNNNNNNNNNNNNNNNNNNNNNNNNNNNNNNNNNNNNNNNNNNNNNNNNNNNNNNNNNNNNNNNNNNNNNNNNNNNNNNNNNNNNNNNNNNNNNNNNNNNNNNNNNNNNNNNNNNNNNNNNNNNNNNNNNNNNNNNNNNNNNNNNNNNNNNNNNNNNNNNNNNNNNNNNNNNNNNNNNNNNNNNNNNNNNNNNNNNNNNNNNNNNNNNNNNNNNNNNNNNNNNNNNNNNNNNNNNNNNNNNNNNNNNNNNNNNNNNNNNNNNNNNNNNNNNNNNNNNNNNNNNNNNNNNNNNNNNNNNNNNNNNNNNNNNNNNNNNNNNNNNNNNNNNNNNNNNNNNNNNNNNNNNNNNNNNNNNNNNNNNNNNNNNNNNNNNNNNNNNNNNNNNNNNNNNNNNNNNNNNNNNNNNNNNNNNNNNNNNNNNNNNNNNNNNNNNNNNNNNNNNNNNNNNNNNNNNNNNNNNNNNNNNNNNNNNNNNNNNNNNNNNNNNNNNNNNNNNNNNNNNNNNNNNNNNNNNNNNNNNNNNNNNNNNNNNNNNNNNNNNNNNNNNNNNNNNNNNNNNNNNNNNNNNNNNNNNNNNNNNNNNNNNNNNNNNNNNNNNNNNNNNNNNNNNNNNNNNNNNNNNNNNNNNNNNNNNNNNNNNNNNNNNNNNNNNNNNNNNNNNNNNNNNNNNNNNNNNNNNNNNNNNNNNNNNNNNNNNNNNNNNNNNNNNNNNNNNNNNNNNNNNNNNNNNNNNNNNNNNNNNNNNNNNNNNNNNNNNNNNNNNNNNNNNNNNNNNNNNNNNNNNNNNNNNNNNNNNNNNNNNNNNNNNNNNNNNNNNNNNNNNNNNNNNNNNNNNNNNNNNNNNNNNNNNNNNNNNNNNNNNNNNNNNNNNNNNNNNNNNNNNNNNNNNNNNNNNNNNNNNNNNNNNNNNNNNNNNNNNNNNNNNNNNNNNNNNNNNNNNNNNNNNNNNNNNNNNNNNNNNNNNNNNNNNNNNNNNNNNNNNNNNNNNNNNNNNNNNNNNNNNNNNNNNNNNNNNNNNNNNNNNNNNNNNNNNNNNNNNNNNNNNNNNNNNNNNNNNNNNNNNNNNNNNNNNNNNNNNNNNNNNNNNNNNNNNNNNNNNNNNNNNNNNNNNNNNNNNNNNNNNNNNNNNNNNNNNNNNNNNNNNNNNNNNNNNNNNNNNNNNNNNNNNNNNNNNNNNNNNNNNNNNNNNNNNNNNNNNNNNNNNNNNNNNNNNNNNNNNNNNNNNNNNNNNNNNNNNNNNNNNNNNNNNNNNNNNNNNNNUGGGGCGGGUCGGUAGCUUCGCAUAGGGGCGACGUGGACGAUCCGAGGCCCUUGAUUCGAGUACGCGGGGCGUACGAGGGUACGCAGGGCGUACUCCGGUCCUAUCUGCUGACUCCCCUUCGGAUAUUACCAAGAAUUUAUAUUUAAAUUUAUAUUUAUUUUAAAUAAACUUCUAAAAUUCAUAUCUCCUUCAUACGAACUCCGUUUUCGACGUUCUUUAUAUCCACGCGUAGGUGAGACUAAGAUCUAUAACUUUCGUUUAGAUUCCGUUGGAAAAUUAUGAAAUUAUUUUUAUUAUUUAUUUAUUAAAAUGACGUGAUUAAGGAAUUUCUUCAAAAAUUAAUAACUUCUUUAUCCGACGUCCGUUUUGGACGUUCUUUUUAUGUACGCUCACGGUUUGAGGUUAUCUAUAACUUUCAUUUAGAUACUUAAGGCUAGAAACUAUUGUAUUGAAACUUCGCGUUUUUCGUUUAAUCGUUGUUGCCGGUUUUGCCGAGAAUCUUCGAUUGGUCAUAACUUCUUCGUUAUAACUCGGAUUUUAGGGUUCUUUAUAUGUACGAAAACCUUGAUACGAUUCCUACUACUUUAUUUAACCCAAAUAAGAUUUUAGGAAAGUUAUAUUUUGACCUAGAUUUGAUUGGUUUUACAUUACAUUGUCUCGAAAUAUCGGGUUGUCACACAAACAAGGAAGAGGAAGUCGAGUGAAAAUCACAUAUUCUAAGUCUAUAAAAUCUCAACUAUAUAUAACCUUAACAUAUCCAAUUAGUAGUUAUAGACGUACCAGAGAAGAUCUUUUUAACAUUUCCCAAAAGUUUAUUUAAAAUACUUCCAUGGUAUUUGAUUCUUGGACUUCUAGAUAUUAGAAGUUGAUAAGUUUUCAGUUUUCUUGUUAUAGCAUCCUAAAAUACUCCUAUUGUAUUUUAACCUUUAUGUUUGGUUCUAGAAUUCUUCUGGUGCCUAGGUAAGUUUUAGACUUGUUGCAACACUACAAUCACUCCCAAACACCUGUUGGUCAUAUCUCAAAUGAAUAUAGUUGAUCAGGCUAUAUUGAUCAUAGAUAUGAUUACAUAACUGUCCAGGUUUAACUGUAAUGUUGAACAUCCAAACACUUUUGGUUUGUUCCUCUUGUGAUACUCAUUCUAGUAUAUAUAUUCUGCAUGUACAUAUACUUUUAUAAAAUAUUGUUAUAUUUUUAAAGUAAAACUCUUGGUCUGAGUGUUUUUAUCACGAUGGGUUUAUAGUUGUAUAUCUGUUAUGACUGAUAUACGGAGUUCAAUAUAAACAAUGCUCUGAUACCAAUCUGUCACACCCCCAAACCAGAACGGCAGAAACGUUCGGGGGCGGAGGACUUCAUGUAAGUAUCACUAGUUCCUCCCGAAAAACCUAUAUUUCCUUAGGUGAUAAACUGAUAACCUCAAUAGUUUCCGUCUGUAAUUACUUAGUUUAUACUAAUUAUGUAUAACCUAAUGUCAAACUGAUAGUUAAAUGGGUGUAUCUGCCCUAAGCCCACAACCAAACAAGGAACAAGAAGUAAGGCAGAAGUCACACAUUUCAUGUCAAUCGGAUAUUACUUAUAUAUAACUCUUACGUAAUAACUAAGGAAUUCUAGAAUUAACCAAUAAAGGUCCUUUAUGUUAUAUUCGUUGACUAAGGUCCAAGUGAAAAAUUAGCUUAAUCCCAUAAUCCGUUUCAUUUGUAAAAGUGGCUUAAUUCCAUAAACCGUUUCGUUUGUAAAAGUGGUUUAAUUCCAUAAACCGUUUCCUUUAUAAAAGUGGUUUAAUCACAUAAACCAUUUCAUUUGUAAAAGUAUUCUUAGUUUCAUCCGUUCUACAGUAAAACAUUAGUAUUAAUCCUGGAAAAUAUUAUAUUAUCCACAAUACUACCUUGUGGUUUUAAAUGUUCCAAAACCAGAAGUACAAGUAUAUUUUCCAUACUUGAUUUCAUGAUACGUAGUUUUUACUUUAAGUAAAAACUAACAAAAGGUAUAUUGGGUCUGGAUGUAAUUAUCUUUUCUUAUUGUUUUAAGAGAAGUAUAUUACUUAGUAAUUUACUUGUUGUUUUAUCCAUGUGAUUUCUAUUAACCAUACUAAUAUGACUGAUGUGCCUAAUGCGAUGUUCUUCAUGCGUCGAAAAUGAUAUGACAUUUGUCACCCUAGGCUUGCCGGCCAAACUGUAGCGAACAGUGAAGGCGCGGGAUUGUCAGUCCCAUAUAGAUCUAUACACAAAUUCACGCUCUCCUACAAGAGAUUUUGGUUAAUAGGUCAGGACUUAAAGUCGUACUUAGAUAAGUACACCGUGAAGUGUCUCACAAAUUUAUUGUUUCAAAGAGAUUUACGAUGUAUUAUUACCCCAUGAUUGCUAACCCUGGUACUCUGUAUCGUACCUUUGUUAAUGCAAACCCGGUAUGAUGUAUUACCACCCUGUGUUUGCUAACCCAGGUACUCUAUAUCGUACCUUUGUUAAUGCAAACCCGAUAUGAUGUAUCUUUACUUCUUUAAUAUUUUCUUCGUAUAUUAAAGGCAUUAUACAUAUACUGUUAUAGAUAAAUGAAUUGUUGGUAAUUUCCUUGGAAAGUAUACAAUCGUGAAUCAUACUUGUAUAUUUAGUUUUGAAUCAUAAAUUAUACCAAUUAUAAUUUAUAUGCUCUAAUAUGAUUAGCAUGCUUUCUCAUGGAUGAACACCUUUGCUCAGCAUGAUACAAAGGUAAUGAUAACAUCACCUUCAUUCCACAUCCAAACAAGGAAAAGGAAUAAGAUAAUUCAUUGCUCCUGAGCCCUUCAAAUCUUAUUUAUAUAUUUAUACAUAUAUAAACUUGAUUUUCGCAAUCGUAAUUUGAAAUAGUUUAUUAAAAACCUUUUUCAAAGAAUUUAUUGGAGUUUACAUGACUUUAAAGAUUUAACAUCGUUUUAAGUCAUUUUGGAUGUAUUUGGUAAUUCUUAAAAGCAUACGGAAACUCUUUUUGUGAUUAUUAUCACAUACAGUUAUUAACACAAUUUAAUAUUGUGUUAAACUUGUAUUCCCCACCCCCCCUAAAAAUCAUUUAAAAACCAUUAAAAAGGUAAAUUAUAGUGGUAUGACCUCACUUUGAUAAGUGGUGAUUCGGGUAGCGUUUCGUUUCCUGGAAAGGAGUUUGUUUGACGAGAAACCGGCUCAAAUCGGGCAGAGUUUCGACUAAAGAGAGGUUAAUUUCUCAAGAAUUUCGGGGUUCUGGGGCUUGCUUCUGGCUUUAGACACGAUAUCGGGGCCUUAGGGGUUCGUGAGAAAGUCUUGGGGGUGAAAAGGUGAAAGAUGGUGAAAUUUGGGGUGAAAAACCUCUCAAAUCUGAGAAGUCUCGCACCCUUUAUAUAGGGGUGCGAGGGUGUGGCCGAGUAAGACAGCUGGCGAGGGCGAGGAGUCAGCAGCCACAUGUCGGACAUGCGAAGUCUCGCACCCUUUACCAUUGUACUACUAAUGACGAGAAGUCUUGCACCCUUUACCGUUGUACUACUAAUGACGAGACCUUCAAUUCUCGUUUAGCUUGUGUCGGCUAAAAACCACUCAAUCUUUAUUUCGAGUUUUUAGCUAUACACUGCUAUACUGAAACUUAGAAAAAUCAUAACUUCCUCAUAUGAAGUCAGAUUUUGGCGUUUUUUUUAUCCAACUUCUCGGUUUAACAUAAACUACAAUUUUCAUUUAGAUCAUUAAGGCUAAAAAGCCUUUUAUUGAAAUUUCAGUUUUUAUACUGAACAGUGUUUUGCCGGUUUUGUCGUGGAUCUUUGAUUGGUUAUAACUUCUUCGUUAUAACUCGGAUUUCAGUGUUCUUUAUAUUUUUGGAAACCUUGUUGAAAUAUCUACUACUUGGUUCAUACCAAUCAUGAUUAUUGAUCAAUUUAUUUUUAACCUAAAUUUGACUGCUGUCACAGUUUUUUACUAGAAUAGUCCAUAUUAUAACGGGCUUGUCCUGUCCACCCGAGUAUUAAUGUUAUCAGGCUUAGACUAUUUAUAGUGCAUGAAAGCACUGUUUUAGGAUUAACAAGUUGUAUUUCCCUAUGUAGUCUUUAAAGAGAAGGUCUUGUUGAAUACUUCUAAGGCUAUCGAAUCUAAUCAUUCCACACUAUUUGAUCUUCGUUGUUCUUAUUUUUUGGUUGAUUACACUUGUUAGAAUAUAUCGAUCUAUUAUUUAUUGAAUGAACAAUUGGUAUCAUAGCGGGAGAUUGUAUAACUCACGCAUAUCUUAUGUUGAGUAUUAUUAGGGUUUUACAUUUUUAGUGGAUCUGUUCUUGUUUUCUUCAUCAUUUUCAUCUUUUAUAGACGUUGGAUCUGGGUCUUUAUUUUACCCUAGACUCGAUUAUUGUUUUGCACAUCGUAUUCUAAACAGGUUUUUGUAAAUCAGCAUCAUGCAACCAGAAGAUCCUCAUACUUUUUCCUUCAAUCUGUCCAACAACAUUGGAUCUACUACUAGAAUCGCAAUCCUUUUUCCGUAGCAUUAUGAAGUCUAGGCACUGUACUUCGAAGAUUACAUUCAUGGCCUUGAAGAUCACGUCACAUUAAUAUGGGAAGCCAUGACUCACCAGAUGUUCACUCAAAUUGCCACAAGGAAGGUUAUUAAGACUCAAGUUGAAUAUAAUGCUCUUCUUGUAGAUGUGAAACAUGUUCCUCAAGAUGAAAAGACAAGUUGAUAAGUAAUGUCAAGGCGAUGAGGAUAAUCAGAUUCGCUCUUCCUCCAUACACGUUUCCUUUUAUAAGUGCAUGUGAAACAGCCAAGGCGAUAUAGGAUCGACUCAAGGAACUCUACUUAACCGAUGCAGAUUGGAACAUUAUGUACACACUUUGCUUUUAUCAGAGUUUGGUGCCUUUGUUUAAUAGCCAAAAGAGGAACUUGAUCAAAAAUUUAAUCAUUGUAAUCAUCUCGUGAGCAGGAUGUUAACACACAAGAUCAAUCAUGAACCAAUAGAGCAAAAGGUCACGUUUAUGAAUGGUUUGAGAUCAGAACGGAAAGCUGUAGUGUCCACGGUUAAAGCUCUUGAACAGUUUAAAAGCUAUUCUUUGGCAAAUAUUAUGGGAAUUUUGAGGUCAAAUGAAGAUGAAGUAAUGAAAGAUGUUAAGCUUGUCUCGAUCAUGGGAUCAUUGGCCCUUGUUUCGAAGGGGUAAAAAGGUUGCUGAAGAAGAUUUAGAAUUUGACAUCUCGUAUUCGGAAUUUACCAAGGAAGAAUAUGCUAUGAUGGUUUCUAAUCUGAAAAGAUUCAUCAAAAAGAACUUUCAUCAUUUGCAAAAGAAAAAACAGAGUAGGAAACUUCAACUGUGAAAUGCCAAGAGAUGAAUGCUUCAAAAGCUCCCAAAAGGAUGAAGAUAAACAAGAGAAGAAGCUGCUAGGAGACUCUGAGUAUGAUUGUAACUACUGCCAUGGCAACAACCAUUUUGCAAAAGAGUGUAUGCUGAGAAGGAUAAGUGAAAAGAAUGAAGAAGAGAAAGAUGAAGCUUACAAUAUUCAAAAGAUAGAAGAGCUUAGAAAGAAGAAGAGUGUUGAUAAUGCUAAACCUACUUUGAUUAUGCAGGAGGAUGAUGAUGAGUUUAGUCUUGUUUAAGUCCGGUCAACUAAUUCAGAAGACGAGGAAGUUUGGAAGCCAACGCACAGUAGAUGUUUCCGAGUGAAGUCUUGAGUACCUAAAAACGAAGGAAGAUGUUUGAUGGUUCGCAGUGAUGUCUUGGAGCAGAGAGGAUAUGCCACUUAUAGCGACCAGGCCUCUAACAACUGUUUUGCUGCAAGACUUGUUUCUGAGCAGGUCAGUGAAUGCCAGUUAUCAAUAAGGUACAAUCCAUGCCCCAAUCUCAUAAUAUUCUAUCUCACGUUACGAAUCUGAAUUAGAUGAUUUAAAUUAUACUUACUCUAAUUUUAGCAAUAGUUUAAAAAGAACUCGUCUAAGCAAUUCUAAGCUAAGUGAUCAAAUCAGUAGGAUAACAAGUAGGAGUGAAGAGAGGAGAAUAUGGCUAGAGAAGCUGGAGUUAGAGCUUAGUAGGUCAAAAGAUGAUGUUAUUUAUAUAAAUGGAGACAAUUUAGCACUUUUAAAACAACGAAAUAUUUUAUGUUUGAUUGCAAAGCGGUUAUAUUUUAACAUUACUCAACUACAUCUUGAUUGCGAAAUAGGUAAAAAUAUACACAAAAUGAUUUUACCCUUUCUUGAAUUGAGAUAGGAUGAAAUCGAUGUAGAGUGCUAUAAGUGCGAAUCCAUGGUGUCCUCAGAUGAUGUAUCUGAAUAUUACAAAAUUGGACUUGACAAAAUUGAAGCAUAUAUUCAGUCCCAAGAACAUAAAAGCAUGUUAAAGAAAAUUUUGGAUGAAAAUGAAAAAGAACAUAUUAAAUCUGAUAUUGUGCAAAAUUUUGACUCUUUAUGCACAAAAUUGAGUUCGGAAAACACUUUCGAUGCUGAAAAUGUUUCUGAAUUUGACGAAAGUGACAUGAGUGAGAUUUCUGUAGAGGAUGAGAUCGAUUGUUCAGUAUUUGUACGAAAUGAGUCCGAACCAAAGAAAAUGUUGAUUUUUGAAAACUCAGUUGAAUAUGUUCGUGUUGUUGAAAAUAAGGGUUCAGAUGUUUUAAAAGCAAAAGCAGAAUUUCGAAAAGUAUAAACCGUCCCUAAUCAAGUUUUUGUAAAAAGCGGACUGAACAAUAAUCAAACAUCUGAACCAACGUACUUAGUAGACAAUGAUAAUGUAGACAGUUGCGAUGACUUCUUUUGGUUAGGACUAAUUGAUAACUCUGAUGAAUCCAAAGGUAUUUCCGAAAUGACCUCAUGAUAAACCAAAGGGAGAUAUGUUGCUGGAACCAUUGAAUUGUGUUAACACUUGUAAUGAUAAAGCUGGUCCGAGUGCCAAAAAAAAUGUCCCAAGUGAAACAUCCUAUGAACAUACUGACAUUCAUAUUAGAAAAGACAGACCUAGGGCUAACAUUCAUAAGUCAGCUGAUGAAUUCAUUGCUAAGAAACGUCAAGUAAAUGCUAGAUAUCAGAAAAAUGUAAAAGAAAGAAAGCGAUUAUGAAAAUCUAAAAAUUCCAAUUUUGUUAACCAAGAAAGAUCUGCGAAUCAAAAUGAGAAUUCUUCUUCAAAAAAGAAACCUAAAUCGUUUUCAAAGCCACAGUCUUUAACUCCACUAAUUUCAAAACCAAAAACUUUUCCGAAACCAUCAGUUGCAAAACAAUCAAAAUCAUUGGAAAAGCGAAACCAAAAUUUCCUCUAAGACCAACUGUUUCAAAAUCAAUAUACACAUCGAAUGAUGCUAAGGGUAAAGGAAAAUUCGUUUCGGAACAUGAAAUUUCCUUCAGUAAAUCCGAAAAAUUGAAAAAUGAGGAAAAGAAGUUUAUGAAAAAGGUUGCUAGGCAACACACAUAAUUUAAACAAAGACAAAAUCUUUUUAAAGAAAAGAAUCUCAAAGACAAGAGGAUUAUGGUUUUCAAAAUCACGACAGGAGAGAAUUCCACAUUGAUAAAGAGAUCUUACUUUUUUGAUGAAGCUAUAAGAUUUCUUAUUCCUAUGUCAUCCUCAUGAGGACCCAAACAACUUUGAGUUCCUAAAUCUCUCUGAUUUUUGUAGGUAAUUUGUGACGAAGAGUAUGACUUGGAAUGCUAUAUUGAGAGUGGAUGUUUACAUCACAUGACUGGGAGGAGAGAAGACUUGAGGGAAUUCCGAUUGCUGAAGGACAAAGGGAAAUUAAAGUAUGGCAAUAAUGCUAUGGGAGAGAUCAAAGGAUAUGGCAUGAUCACGAAUGGUUGUAGGUACAAGUCUGAAAGUAUCAUCCGAUGAUGAGGGAUCCGAUAUAAUAGAGAAAAAGUCCAAGACAGUGCUUCUAAAAUCCAAAGGAAAAGGCAAGAUGUUCCCAUUGAAUUUGAAUCCUUUUAACGGAAAGCCAACCAUUUACCUUCUUACAAAAGCAUCUUUGGAUGACAGUUGGUUAUGGCAUCGAAGACGCUCGCAUCUCAACUUCAAGGACAUCAGCAAACUCGUAGUUGGUGCUCUUUUGUGUGGAGUUCCUAUUCAUAAAUUCGAGAAGGAACAUAUGUGUGCAGCAUGCGAAUUGGGAAAGCAAAGUCGAAAGAGUCAUUCAACUAUCAUCAACACCAAAGUGAUCAAGGCACUUGAACUAUUACAUAUAGAUUGUUGUGGUCCUUCUGCCAUCGAGAGUAUUAGUGGUAAAAAAUACGUUCUAGUUAUUGUUGAUCGCUUUUCCAAAUUUACCUUGGUUUAUUUUCUUAAACAGAAAUCAAAUGCAACUUCCAAGCUGAAGGACUUCAUCAAGCCGAUUGAGCUUUAAUUGUGAAAACUAGUUUGGAAUGUUCGCAGUGAUAACGGUUCAAAAUUCAAAAACCAAGUGUUUGAAGAAUUCCUGACUGAAAAAGGGGUUGCUCAUAACUUCUCUGCUCCUUACACUCUACAACAUAAAGAAGUCAUUGAAAGACGAAAUCGGUCUCUUUGAGAAGCUCCAAGGACUAUGCUAUCAUUUGCGAACCUUCCACUUUACUUCUGGGUUGAAGCUAUCAGAACCGCUUGAUUCACUCAGAGUUGAUCUCUCAUCAAUAUAAGAUUUUCAAUGACUCCUUAUGAGAAUCUAAAUAAACGAAAACCUAAUGUCAAGUUCUUUCAUGUCUUUAGUUCCAGGUGUUUUAUCUUCAAAUCUAAAGAGCAACGAAACAAGUUCGAUGUGAAAGCUGAUGAAUGGAUCUUUUUGGGGUACUCUCUUACUUCGAAGGCAUAUAGGAUUCUGAAAAAAAAUUCAAAAAAGAUAGAAGAAACCUAUUACGUCACAUUUGAUGAUAAUUAUCUAAAGAAGUAUUAGAAGGCCGAUUGUCAAUCUGAGGAGCUUUUUCCUAUGACAAAUUCGAUGAUGAUUCAUCUUUCAAAUCUCUAUGAGGAAUUCAUGAAACUGUUUGACGAACCUAAAAGGCUAUCUCUUGGGAAUCAAAUUCCCCCAUAUAAUAAGGAAUAUGAAUUAAAGAAGAUUAUCAAUGAUGCUGCAAAAGAUCUUGGAAAUGUGCCACCUACAUCGGAGGGUUUUGAUAUUCUGAAGAACUCUGAAAUUCCACCUUCACCACAAGCUGCUAAUUCACCUGUUCAGAGGAGGGUUAUACUUCAACUUUCACAUCCUAUUCACCUGUUCAGGGGGAUAUUUCAUAUCUCAAAGUCAGCCAAGACAUUCUAAUCCACGGGGAGAACCCAAUUCCAAAUGUAGAGCCAUAUGCAUCAUUCCAGGGGAGAAUGAGAGCAAAAAUAAUGACUCAGAUGCUCAGCCAGAAUUCAAAGAUGUGAAUGCAAAAUUGGAUCCAUCCUAUGACCCGAACUACCAUCCUCUGGAAAAGUGGACCAAAGAUCAUCCUAAAUCACAAGUGAUUGGUUCAGCUUCUUCUAGUGUUCUCAUUAGAACUCAACAAAAAGCGAAUCAGACUGCAUUAUUUUCCAAAAUCGAAUUUUUCAUGUUUAAUUCGCUCAUUUCCUAGAUUGAGCCAAAAACAGUUAAGAGUGCUCUCGACCAUUCCGAUUGGGUGCAAGCAAUGUAGGAAGAGUUCAAAGAGUUUGAGCGUAGCAAAGUUUGGAGGCUGAUUCCAAUUCUGAAGGAUGCAUCGGUUGUAGGUUUGAAAUGGGUAUUUUGCAAAAGUUUGACAAAUACGGCAAUGUAAUCAGAAAAAAAAAGCAUGGUUAGUUGUUAAGGGAUACUGUUAAGAGGAAGGCAUAAACUAUGAAGAAACAUUCGCACCGGUUGCAAGGCUAGAAUCUGUUUGCAUUCUCCUUUCAUAUACUGUUUAUAGAAGUUUCAAAGUCUAUCAAAUGCAUGUCAAAUGUGUGUUUUUGAAUGGUGAAUUAGAAGAAACAGUUUAUUUGGAACAGCCACCAAGUUUCGUAUGUGAGAAAUAUCCAAAUUAUUGCUAUAUUUUGGAUAAAGCGGUUUAUGGCGUAAAAAAACCUCCUCGUGCAUGGUAUGAAACCCUAACUCGAUUCUUAAAACAAUCCAAAUUUAAACAAGGUUUGUUCAACCCAACCUUCUUUCUUAAGAAAGAUGGUGACCAUCUAAUGAUUGUCGAAAUUUAUGUUGAUGAUAUCAUUUUCGGAUCUACUAAUCUUUAAUUAACUGCCGAAUUCCGAAAAUUGAUGGAAACUAAUUUUGAGAUAAGCUCAAUGGGUCCAAUUAACUUUUUCCUUCAUUUAAAUAUUAGACAGAUUCAAGAGGCUAUAUUCAUUAACCAGGUGGCUUAUACGAAAACCUUACUUGCAAAAUUCUAAAUGGUUUGAGAUUCAAAGGUCAAGGUUCCGAAGGCAUUCGGAACAAAUCUUACACCGUCCUUCAACAAGCCUGCAACAGAUAUGACUUUGUAUCGACAAAGGAUCUUUAAUGUAUCUAACAUUGAGUCGUCCAGGUAUUGUGUUUCCUGUUUGCUAUUAUGCCAUGUUUCAAUCGAAUCCUCGUGAACCACAUAUGACUGUAGUGAAGAACCUUCUUUGAUAUCUUAAGAGAACUACGUCACUCGGAAUUUGCUACGCUACCAACUUAGGAUUCUUUGUGUAAGAGUUCUCUUAUGCUAAUCUUAGAGGAUGCAGUCUUGAUGGUAAAAGUACAGCUGGAGGAUGUCAAUUUCUUGAUGGCAAAGUCGUAAGUUGGCAAUCUAAGAAACAAACAUGUGUCUCCUUAUCUACCGUUGAAACCGAAUAUAUCGCAACUACCUUAUGUACUUCUCAAGUAAUGUGGAUUCAAAGUCAAAUUUGAGAUUACAGGAUAAAUAUGAAGAGAAUUCCCUUAUACUUUGAUUCUGAAAGUGCUAUUCGCAUUUGCCAUAACCCAGUGAAACAUUCCAAGAUAAAACAUAUAGCACUGAGGUAUCAUUCCAUAAAGGAUCACGUAUAGGAUGGAAAUGUCGAAAUUCACUUUGUGAGAUCUGUUGAUCAGCUAGCUGAUAAUUUUCCCAAAACCUUACCUGAACAGACCUUCAAUCGAAUUCUAUAAGGCUUAGGAAUGAUAGAAGAAGAUCCCGUUCCGAAAACAACAUAAUAAAGUAAAGCGGUUUUCUUUCUCUGAACCGCUCCAAGCCCUCAGAAUGAUUCAGAAUCUAUACUUCAUGUUUCGAACGGUUGUGAACCCUUGGAACGACUCGGAGUCCACUAUUCAUCUGUUGUUUGGAAGUUUUGUAUCCUUUUUGUAUUAAGUCUCUUCCGACUAAUUCGGAAGCUACUGUACAUCUUUGUUUUUUAGUUUAAUUUUCUGUUUUUUAUUUCUUUUUCAGAAAAAUCCAAAAUCACAAAAAAUAAUUUUCUUUAUUUUUAAGUGUUUAUUUCUUUUUCAGAAAAACCCAAAACUUACCAAAAAUAUAUAUUUUUUAUUUUUUAUUUUGUGUGAUAUGUUCAACAUUUAUUUUAGAUACAGGCAUAUAUUCAUCCUACUUUCAUAUCGGAAUGAUGGGGAAAGUUUUAUAAUUUUGAAUCUAUUCACUAGUUAAGUGUCCCUAGAAGCAUGCUAUUGCAUAUUGCCCAAAGGCUCUGAUACUAUGUUUGAAGCCUUACUGAAUCGAUAAUACCAAUCGUUUCUUCCCAAAUAGACUAUAAAUUCACAUAAGUCAUUGAGCUACCUUACUCUUCUCACAAUGAGAUAAGAGUUCACUGGUUGUUCAGUUCUGUAUAGUAGAGGUACAUUUUAUCUUCGGAACCACCGCCAUAUUUCUCUCGGAAUUCACCACUGAGGUUUAUGAUUACACAACCUAUGUGUUUAUGAUCUCAAAAUUGUUAUUACCACGAUUUUAGUGAAACCCAAAAUCCGAAACCAGUUUCUGAAUUGAUGGUGAACAAUCAAUAUGUUCUAGAUGUUUUCACCACCGAAUUGAUGAGUAAAACCUAUAUGGUUGGUACCUUUCACAUUUGAAAUAUCAUUUUUCUUUUUGUGUGAUCUUUAUGAAAUGCUCUCGUCCCAAAACUUUUCUUCCCAAAAGAUCCGGGUUUUUUUUCUUGAGAUUUCGAUAUUAUCCAGCUACUUAAACAAAUCCAAAGCGUACUUGUUAUUAUGGCUAUACUAGUCAGACAAGUACUUAUUCCUUACUUUCAGACUUAUGUUGAGUUUCGGAAUUUGGUUGAAGAUGAAGCCACCCUUAAGCCUAUUUAAAAGAAGCCUUUCACUGUUUCUCAACAUACAUGGAUCAUUGCCCGGGAUCCAAUUGUCUUAUGUUGAUUUAUAAUUGACAUCACAGAUUCCAAGAUAUAAUUUGUCUUAUUUCUAUUUGUUUGGCACACUCUAGCACAAAAAUUCUUGUGAUUUUUCAAAAAUCUGGUUCUUCAUACUUAAUGGUUACUUUCAAUUCCGAUAGCAGGGUAGGACAAUUUAUGAAUGUGCAGAACUGAAACGACGGAUUUCUAGGGAUUAAGAUUUCAAUAAGACGCAUUCCUUUCAAAAACCCUAUCGUCCCUCCUGUCAGUUAUGCUGCUUGACAUGUACAAUUGUCAAGAUUUUUAAGUCACCUUUAUUGGGAUAUGGAAACAUCAAUCAUGAUUUUCUCUCUCCACUUAUACCGUAUAAAUGGGAAAUCAAUGUUUGCUUUUCUCUCAGAGUUAUCAAAGUAUUCAAACUCUCCAGUGAAAAUACCUCUUUUCUCUCUGUACUGUUCAUCAUCAUCUCCAACAAUUUUCAUGGCUAACUCCACUGAAACUCAAUUCCUUGCUGAACAAACCACUUCAUCGGUCAUGUUGAACAUCUAACCUAACCAAAACCUCAUCCUAGAUCUCGAUUCACCAAAAUACACUGAUUCUCUCAAGCCUAUGAUCGUGUGCCUUUUACUCUCCAUUGGUUCAAGCCCUAACGAUGGCUGAGAAUGCCGCCACGGUCCAUCUCUCCAAGGCAUUCUCCAUUGCAACCUACCAACAACGUGAGGCUAUGAUAACGGUUGAGGUUGGUUCCCACAAAUCUUUGAUAUCCAAGGCCAGAUUUAGCAGGAUUCUAGGGUUUUCUUUUGCAGACGGUUUGGUUGAUACGGAAUCAAUUUCUUCAUCUUUGAUUAUGGAGAUGUUAUACUAAAUGGGCUUUUCACUCUACUAUUCAAGAGCUUCUUAGAGCGAGUUAUGGGUUCAGACAGUGCUAGCAGGGUUUUCUGCACAAUCAUCUAUGGUCUGUAUUUAGGGAUUAACCUUGAUUAUGGUUUAAUCCUCUAGGAUCAACUAGUUCAGAGCACACUUUCGACUACAAGGCACUCGGAAAUAUCUUGCACUCGAUUCUAGUUAAUCAUCAUCAAGCGUGCAAUUAUUCGCCUUCAGCUUCAGGUACCAGAUGAUUCAGUAUUUGUUGCGAUUCCGAUCUUCCAUACUUCCAAAUUCAUCGUGUCCGAUCCCACCAAAUUCGACUUUCUUGUAUCUGUUCCAGAGGCUAUGCUACUCAAUGUUCUGACGGACAAUUUGCUAAUCAAGGAGUAUCGGAAGAAGCCUGCCUCAGGUCCUCUUCCUAUGCCCGAAGAUUUACGAAGGGCACUUGAAGAGAGAAACAAGCCUAAAAUGGGAGGAAAGCGAAAAGGGAGAGCUGGACCUUCCGAUCCAGCUCAAAAUCCGAUGAAAAACAUAGAGAAGGCUACUCGCAAACCAUGAUCUCCUUCUCUUAUUACUCAAGAGGAUUCAGAUUCUCACAUUUUUCCGGAGAUUCGGAAGACUGAACAAGUUCAGAAGGAAAUCGAAAAAACUACCACGACUUCGCAAUGAAUGGUCACGGAGCCCAUUCCUACUUAGUCUAUGGCAAAGGUAUCAUAUCCUAUUUCCACUUUAGCUCCAUUAACAGAUGAAACAUUUCAUGUUCCUUCUCUUCCACCUUCUCCUACUUCUACAUCUACACUACUCUCUACACCCGUCACCAUAGCUCCCUAUCCAAAUGUAUAUGUUGGAGUUUCGCAACCACAUAUCUCUGUUGCUCAAACAACCCCACUCUACACCAAAUCCACCUUAACCACUACUAUGAGUUCACCUCAAGUCACUGUCAACGUAUUUGAUAUAGGGGCAUGUGCUUUUUAUGUUACAGUUGGUCCAAGUUUCACCCCAAUUUGAACUUUAAGCAACGAUGACCCAAAUACAGUUUUUGGUGAUGAUCGAGAUGAAUUUCAACUUACAUCACGGCCUAUUCAUUGUUCAUCAGUUUAGUGAUGAUGAUGAGGCCCCAAUGACGAAAGGGUAGUUCAAGGCCCUCAAUCAAAAUUAGAUACUCUGCUCCAGUCGUCCAAAUCUUUGUCAACAGUGAGUAUUCCUUUGAGGAUCAUAAAGCGUUAAUUGAGACUCUCAUGCAGGAGCAUUCCAAAAUUCUUGUUGCAUCUACAAAAGUAGUUGAAAAUUCCAAGAAAACUGUUAGGGAUACGACUGAGAAAGUCGAAAAACUACUAUUUGAGGUGAUACAGUUUAUGGCAGAAUUCCGAAAAUCUUUGGAUCAAAAUACUGUAUCUGCUAAUAAAGUUAUCACCAGUCUUAGAGCCACUCUUCAAACGGAGAAAAAAAGCUUUAUAAAGUUUCUUUUAGAGCUCAUGGUGGAUAAUGCGAAGAUGAGUGCCUUUAUUGUUUCAAAGAUUGAGAAGCUACAUGAGGAUCUGGCCAUAGAAAAUAAAAUCAAUGAUAAGUUGGCGGUCAAAACGGAGAAAGCAAAAGUUAUUUCUUUGAAGUAGUCUCAUGCCACCAAACAGAUCGACGGUCUUAACUCUGAGAAGGUUGUUUUUUUAAGAUUUGUCGCAAAUGUGAACCUCUACUUGUAGAAUCAAUUAGAGACUUUUGACUCGUUUCUUACGGUCUCUGUUCGACAACAUCUUGUAGAAAAAAUGAAACCAGUAUUCUCUAUGCUUAAUCGUAUAGAAGGGGUUUCGAAAUCUGGUACUCUUCCGAAAUAAGGGGGAGAAGCUAAGAAGACCUUUGGUGAAGAACCCAAGAAUAUAGUUGAUGAUUCUAGUGUGUUCAAACACAAACCACAACGGAAAACAAAAUAUCAUAAGGGUAAUGAAGCUUCUGGGUCUAAAGGCAAAGGAAAAUGGUUGAUGACAAUGAUGAAGAAGAAGAAGAUCCAUCAGAAGAGGCAAAGCUCAAAAGAAAGAAACGUGACAAAGAGCUUGAUGAGAUCGAUCAUAUUAUCAAAGAAGUUGAAUCCCAUGAAGAGGAGGCUCGUGUUACACAGGUCACAAUUAAAACUCAGAAGGCCAUCUUCCCUCCUUGGUCCAUGGAGCGGAUUCUGAACGAGGCUAUUGACAAUUCGAGUAUUUACUUGUUGGAGCCAGUUGUCUCAUUUGACUUGGAUAACUGUUCGGAAUCUUAGCUUAAUUUUCAGAUCACUCCGAUGGCCUUUCUAUCAUUUUGACAAGAUUGAGAAUGCUUCUGAUUCGGAUAACGAUGUCAAUCACAUGCUUUCACUUUUUAUCUUAAGCACGGAAAGCCUCAAUAUCAGACAUGGAGUUCGAAUAAGAUUGAUACUGUGAAAGUUUUUGGACUUGUUGAAACAGAAAGCUCCAUCAACGUUCGAUUCAAGGAUGAAUGAGGAAGUAGGAAGUUUGGUCUUUGAAUUCACCCUUGCUGACUUGCUGUCCCUAAAUCCAUAGAAUUGGAUUUAUUUGUUCACUUUUUUUUUCAAAAGAUGAACAGAAGUUCGAACCAAUAGUGGCACACCUAAAAAGAACAUUAGUCUCCUACAUUCAAGAUAUCGACAAAAUGGAUGUGGAGAUCACUACUGCGCUUAAAAAGAAACCAACUAUGAAAACUAAAGACACUCUGAGUGAUAUCAGCAAGAUGAGGCUGGGAAAAAUCCAAAACGAUAACUGGAGCAUGGCAUUUCAACUACGACAAGGCGAGAAAGUUUAGAAGUGCUUUUUUCCUUACCAGACAAGCAUCUUUAUUCUAUAACCUUUGUGAACUAUAUUUUGGGGAUUAUAGAGCAGUUCAAAGCGAAUGAUAAUGCGGCUAAGAAGUGCUUCACAAAUAUGACCAAAUGGUAUAUCGUGGUUCACAACAGUUCGCUUGGAUUAAUGUUGUAGCAUUUCAAAGUUCAGAAACGUCAUCCGCACUGAAGAAUCUGCCUUUUUUGUUGGCGCAAAGGGGAGAUUGUUGGAAUAAAUAAUAUUGUGUGAUUUUUUUUGUACUAGAAUAGUCCAUAUUGUAACGGGCUGGGCUAGUCACCCCGAAUAUUAAUGUUAUUAGGGUAAGACUAUUUAUAGUGCACGCAUGCACCAUUUUAGGGUUAACAAGUUGUAUUGCCCUACAUAGUCUUUAUAGAGAACUUCUGGUUGAACACUUCUAAAGCUAUUCAAUCCAUUCAUUCAGCACUAUUUGAUCUUCAUUGUUCUUAUUGUUUAUUUGAUUACACUUGUUAGAAUCUAUCGAUCUGUUCUUUAUUUAAUCAACAGUGUUUAGGUCUAUCAAGACCGCGAUGAUUUAGAUAUUUGAUGAGUGGUUCAAUGUUGUGGUUGAGACUGCUGCAGUUGUAGCCACUGCAUUCGUCGUUGCUCUAGGAGGUCGAGGAGGAGGUUCAUUCCAGUACUGUUACUUUAGCAACACAAAGCCACUGGAGUUUGAUGGUGUCAAGGACCCUAUCAUUGCUGAGAUAGUUAUCAGAUGUAGAGGGGUGUUUCUUCAUCUGUUUCUAUCCAGAGGACUGGAAUUUCAAAUGUACUGUAAACCUCCAUCAACUGGGUGUGAAGAAAUGGAGGAACAUGGUGACUGGUUCUUAUACUUCUAAGCAGAGGAGUAUUUUUACUUGGGAUCAGUUCUAUAAGAUGUUUCGCAUCAGGUAUCUUCCCCUGGUGGAAAGGGAGAGAUUGACUCAAAAGUACCUGGAUUUGCGGUAGCUGACAGAGUCGGUGAAAGAGAUCGCCAAGAUGCUUACUGAGACGACUCUUUUUUUUCCUGAGUUCACUACUAAGAAGUAGACACGAAUGAAACGAUACUUGAUCAUGCUCAAAAUUGAUAUUCGGCAGUUUAUGUCGACCCAACAUUACAGUACCCUCUCUGAGCUUCAGGAUUUCGCAUGUAGAUGGGAGAUUAAGAUUUAGGCCCAGAAGAAGGAGCAGGGGCGGGCUCUCGAUCAGUCUCAACCUGCAACCAAACGGUUCAAGGCCCCUGAUACAGGGUUUGGAGGACAGAGGGGCCAUUCUUGUCGCAAGUGCGACAAGUCACACGGGGGUCUUUGUCGAUUAGCUAUUGGAUGCGACAAAUGUGACAAGGAGGGUAACUAUGCGAGGGAUUAUCACUAGCAGGCACCAAUACCAAGCACCAUGAUUUGUUACCAUUGCGAUCAGGUGGUCCAUGGGAAGGCCCAAUGUCUCUGGCUUGGUUCUAGACCCGUGCAAGCAUCUGUCGUGACUAAUUUGAGGAUCAAAGAUGGACGACAUGGAAGAGCUGAGGCCUCGAAGGCCAAUGGUCACGCUUUUCAUCUUCACGUCGGAGGAGGCUAGGACGAUGCCUAAAUUCGUUUCACGUAUGUUUUCAUUUAUUAUUGUAACAUCCCACGAAUCAUAGUACAAAUUUUUCUUUUCAAAAACAACCCAAACACCAUAAAAUUUUACAAAACAUUGUUUCAAAAGUAUUAAUCAAAAAUCAGUGUAUCCCAGAAUCCAAUAACAUAAAGAUCUAAAAGAAUAUGCACGAUCAUGCCAUUGCUUUCCCCCGGUCCUCUGAAGUACCUGAAAAGAAACUGAAAUUGUAAGCCAUUUCUUAGUGAGUUCCCCCAAAGUACCACAACACAACAUAAUAAACAACAUCAUGCAUACAUGACCCUUCAUCUUGGCUAGACCGCUUCGUAGGCCUACAGAAUAUCUGGACCGUUCUUAGGCUCUUCAUCCCAACUGGACUACCUAGCCGGCCUUCAGUCUAUCUGGGCUACCUUGGUUGUCUUGGCCUUCAGGACUAGCUGGUCCGCCUAAACCCAACAAACCAUAACAUGUCGAUAAUACAAUAUCAAACAAGAAUCAGCAAAUGCAUGUCGUCCUAUAAAUCUACCGGUCUAAUCACAUAACCAGUGAAUAAAUAUCUCAACAUAAUAGCAUAAAAUAUAAAAGGAUAUCAAAUGUAAUAGGCAGACCUUGGUGCCUUUGACCGAUAAGUUCAAUGAGGAAAACUCACCUCUCAGUCCAAACAAAUAUUUAAAUACGUAUCUACUCCGAAUAUCAGUUCUACCCAUCACCUAUUCAUCAAAUAAUGACCAACUUAACUUAUAAUCAAAAUACCCAAAAUUAGCUUAUGUCAAACUUGGUCAAAUCCUGGUCAAAGUCAAAAAGUCAAAACUGGUCAACACAACCGAGUACUCCUAGCGUACUCCGCUUGUACGCUUAGCGUACGCAAGCUUGACAAAAAAAUGAUUUGGUUAACCUAUGUACGCCCAACAUAUACGAUAGGUUAUGUUUCUUUCUUAUUAAGAGCUUAAUUCUGAAGCUCUUUUUCCUAAAUUCCAGAUCUAGUCCUAAACUAACAUCCAUAACCAUAAAGAUUCCAACUUUAUGGUCUUACAUGUCUAUUAAGUGCCUAAUAACAAAAACCCUAGCUUCUUAACUCAUUAAGACAUUGAAACUCAUGCAUGGAAGGAAAAUAAAAAUCAAGAUUGCAUUUUUGUGACCUUAGACACACCAAAACAUCUUGAAGGACAAUCCAUUUGGGUCUAGAGCAUGCCAUACAUCAGAAUAUCAUUGAUUAGGGACAAAAGCACAUAACAACAUCAUACAAACUAGAUCUAACCAAAUAAGCAUCAAGGUAUGAACUUUAUACCAUCUACAUAUCUAGGAUGAUGUAAAACUUCUAGAUCCAUGGUUGUUCCAAGCUUCUAUGUUGUUCUCUCUUCCUUUCUUCUUCCUCUAUGAACGCCAAAACAUACACAAAUGGCUCAAGAAUUCAUAAAAAUGAAUUAUGGUUUGCAAAGGUCAAAUUUGGAGUUGGAGGCUGAUGAAAGAAAGAGGACUUGGGACUUAAGGAUGCUUAAAUAGGGUCCAAACCCUAAACAUUAAGGUUUGGCAUUUUAGCAUGUACGCCUACCGUACCUGGGGUUAUGCGCAAUGUACGUGGUGACAUCACAAAAUUACAAAAAUGCCAUUUUGGUCCAAUUUGCCACAAUUCUCAUACUUAGGGCUAAAAAUAGAAAUACCUCAAUAUCAAGAUUUUAUAAUUCUACCCUAAUUGAACAAGACUUCAUCCUCAAAGUCCGCUGUUGUGACCAACUCAGGGUAGUGUUCUCACAUCUUUGACUUGUGUUCCCACAUCCAUUCGAAACCCUUCUGAUGAUGCCAUUGAACCUUUACCAAAGACACCACCUUUUUACGCAAGGCCUUUAUCUUCCGAUCCAAAAUCACCACUGGUCUCUCAAUAUAAUUCAACCACUCAUCAACCUGAACAUCAUCCAAUGGAACAACCGAUGAGUCAUCAACCACAUACUUCUGAAGAUGCGAAACAUGGAAGGUGUUGUGGAUCUGACUGAGCUCCUUAGGCAAAUCUAGCCUGUAAGCUACCUUUCUAACCCUGACAAUCACUUGAAAUGGACCAAUAUACUGGGGCUGCAACUUUUCCCUCUUCUUGAAGCGUAUUACUAUUGGAUAUAGUGUCAAAGUCCAUAAUUAUAUUUGGCAUGUACUUGACCCGACCCGACAUGGUCCAUUUGGGUUGCACUUCACCCGAACAAUUUAUGGAUAAUCUUUUGAGAAUAGUAUAAGUUAUGAUUUAUUAAUAUAUUAUAAGUUCUAAUAUAUUAAUAUAAAAUCAUAUUAUUUAAUUAGUAAUGAUCUAUAAUUAAUCUAGAAUUAAUUUAGAGAUCAAAAGUAUGACUAGUUAAAUAUGGGCUCUUGUAUUUAUAUAGUGUGGGCUAAUGCUUAUUUGGAAUGGGCUAGGCUUGCAUGGAAAGUCCAUGGAUACUCCAUGGAGCUUUAACCCAUGGAUCUCAUGGAAAUAAAAAGACAUGGGUAUUAGGGUUUACAUGGAUGUAACCCUAAUCCACUACACUAUAUAAAGGAGGCUUUAGUUCUUGAAAUCACACUAGUUGUGGUGAGAAAAGUAAGACGGCCGGUUUCAAGAAAGUGAUUACUAUUCUCUCAAAGUUCCAAAGUUUGUGGUGAUUUGUGAUUUCCAUUUAAGACAUCGACACUAUUGGUGCUAGGCUCUAAAACUCCAAGCAAUCAACUACAAAUACAAGGUAAGUAAUUCUACUAGCUUUAUUUGAUUCAAGUUCCCCAUGCCAUGCUAGAUAGGAUAAGAACCUUUGAAAAAAUAAUUAUUUUGCAUAUAUCUUAGUCAAACAUAGAUCUAAGGUUUCUAGGGUUGCAUGUACACCAUAGGAGUGUUAGAAUGCUCAAAACCCAUCACUGGUAUCAAAGACAGGUUUGUUUACUUGAUACUUGAUGAAAAUAGCUUAAAAGUCGAAUUUUUUUCUUCACUGCCAUAUGAACUCAUCGAGUCCACGGGAGGACUCGACGAGUCCAUGAAGAAAUGCAUGAUACUCGUCGAGUCUGUUCAUGCACUCGACCAGUAGAGCCUGCAGUGUCCAAUUUUUCAAAUUUUGCUGCUGGAAAUGGACUAGAAACAUUACCCUAGACUGUUUUGGUGUUAUAANACUUGUUUUAGAUGGUGUAAUGUUUAUGCUAAUCCAUUUACAAUGGCUAUUAUCAAAAAUUACAAGUUUUAUGAGUAAUUUAUGAUUCUUGGAAUGUUCAUAUUCAUGUUCUUGAACUCAUGAAGAUUAGAUGAUCAUAGGAACUGUUUAUAACCUACUUAGUAGUUUAAUUCUUGAUCAUUAUGUGUUUUGAUAGAGUCCAUAACUUUUCCUCAAGUUAUGGAAAUCCAAAGGUCACACUUUAAUAAAAUCCAUUAAAAGAACACAAGAGUUAGGAAAAAUCAAGAGUCUUCAUUUUAAUACUCAAUCAAAUUCAUAAGUUAUAAGAAAUGAAAAGUUUUGAAAGUUUACAAAACUUUCCCUCAAGUUUUGGAACAAGUAAAGUCAUGAUUAAAACUUUAGUUCCAACCCUUAGAAUUUUAAAAGUUAAAAUUCAACCCUUAUACUUUAUAAUAUUAUAAAUAAAUAUAUAUAUAUGUAUAAGAUCAAGUCGUCUUACCGCUAGUACGCCUCAUUCACGAAGCCGGUCUAUAAGGGGGGUAUAAGGUUGUUGCCUAUAAAAUGGCAACUUAAUGGGUGUCCACUCUCACCCACCGCUUCCUUGAUCGGUGGAGGGUCGUUAGCCGAACGGGUAGGACAAGGACUUAUAAAUUCUCAUUAAAAGUAUAAUGAUAAUACUAAAGUAACUAAACCUUAUUAAAUUCCCAAUCUUAGUUAUUUUAGGAAAAUGUGAAUAAGGUGCUAAUCCAUGAAAUUACACUUUACACUUUGUUUAAGUCGUUAGUGGAGCGUGUGUGGUUAACCGGCACACUAACUUGAACUUAACAAGGUAGGUAAAGGGUGACUUAAUGUUUAUCAUAGUAUCGAUGGAGCAUGUGUGGUUAACCGGCACAUCGAUUGAGAGGUAAUACAUUAAGGGUACCAAGUAAUUUGCAUGGUUACUUCACACCUUGUUUUGUGAUCCUCGGCAUCUCAGUCACAAAACUUGAAGGGCACACUUGAGAUUGAAACAUG
rnacentral:lncRNA from 1 species